UUGUGGGUUAAUCAUCUCAUAACAUAAGGAGUGUUUGCUUGAUGGGCAUUCAGACCAAAUAAUGAACGAAUUAGAUCCUAGGCUCUCCAAAAGAUGACAUUGUGUUUUGCUUCAGUUACCUCAUAGAUUUUCAGCCUUUGCGUCAAAAUGAUUUUAUGCAUUUGUUUUCGCACUAACUUGUAUUUUUUUAAGCACAACCAUCCAUAUAUGUGAAGAAACUCAUGGCCACUUGUGUGGUUGAUAGAAAUCAGUUAACAUCUCAAUUUCCUCAUGUGCUAUUGUAUGACUACGGAGGUUUUUCUAACAUGCUCCUUCUUACCUCCCCUUUUCACAUGAGACGUAAGAGUAUAAAGUAAAUCUGAGUCAUUGACUGCAUUAAGUAGUGGACUUGACUAAAUCUUACCUUCUUAACUCCCAUGUGAAAAGAUGAGGUAAGAGGAAGCAUGUUAAAAUGGCUCAUGAAUGUGGUGCUGCCACAAGUGGCGGAGCUUGAGCAUAAUCCAAGAGGGCCAUUACUUGAAGGGGAGAAAAUUAGAAGGGAAUGAGGGGCAAAUAUCUAGUUUAAACACUAGUUAGGCUUAAAAUAUAGUAUAUUCAUUGAUGGGUGCAAAAAUUAAGGGGGGCCAUGGCCCCUGUUGGUCUACAUGAAGCUCCACCACUUGCUGCUGCACAUUCUACAGUGUUGUUAUAGACACUGACUGACUCUUAUUUUUGCACUAUAUCCAAACGUACUAGCAGUCAUAAGACACCAAUCUGUCAGGAUCUCGGCUUUUGGCCUUCUGCUUGGAUGCACUAAAGAUAUUGAUAUGUGUCGCCAUUCCUGGAUGUCGUGAAGGUUACCUGACUGGAACAAAUUGUUCUGGAGAAGGAUAUGGAGGCGCGACAAACCUAAAGCAGCGAUGAUGCAACAAAUGGAAUGUGAUCAAGAAUGGUAUUCUCUCCAGGUGCACACUAGCAAGCAUACAAAUUAGGGUCUGCAUGGAUGACCAAAACACAUGGCAUUUUUUUAUCAACUAGCCCAUCCUUUUUCCUUUGAUCUAAUAACAUUGGUUGCCAUUUCGGGCUUUUGGGCCGAGCUUCGGGCGAGAAAUUGAAGCCCAGGCCUACCCCAGAUGUCGGGCUUUGGGUCCGGCCUCUAGGUCGGGUAGUCCAUGAACAGGUUUAAUUUUAUCUAUUCACUCGCAUUUUGAUCCUCGUUCAUUAUAGCAUUUAACCAUAAUUCAUAUGAACAUGCACCAUGAGAAUAUAAUAAAGGAAAUGCAUGGGUCAAUUUGUAGUACACAACACCUUAUUGUGCGAUAUCACAAGAACAUUUUUCACCUUGAUUACAGUAGUAACUAUUGUGCAAUCUUAUAUAUCAAAUCAUAUAUUAUAUGACAAAUUAAGUAUAUUGUUUUGCUUAUUUCAGUAUUACCUUCAUAAGGAAUAUAGUCACAAAUUUUGCUCCAAACACAACGUUAUUGAGUUCAUACGAAAUGGAACUGUGAAAGGGAAGCCGGUUCAGAAGGUGCCUAAAUACUUGACUUUCAAACAUAUAGUAAUUAUGUGAAGAUGUAUAUGUUUUUUGUAUUAACUUUAAAGUAUUAAUUUGACACGGUAUCCUAUUUUUGCACAGAGAUCAUCUUAUACUUCUAUGAACAAUCUUCAUGGUAUGUCCAGUUGGCCCCAUGCAUUUGGAUAUUAUUUUGUCUACUAUUAUUACUAUAGAGAGAAAUCUAACUGAAACUGAAAUAUAGUAAAUAUUCAUGGAGAGAAAAAUAGACAUUAAUGUCCACAUACACAAAAAAAUUAACCAGUAUUGUCCUAGUUUACAUGAAUUAAUAUUUGCAAUGACAAUUAGGUUACUCAUGACAUGAUAAAGAAAAAGUUUUUUUGUGAGGUAAGAUAAGGUUUUAUAUAACUGUUCAUGGGGACCUCCUCAUGGUUGCAGAUACAUAGUUUUACAGUGCUUCAUGAAAUAGUUGCAUAUCACUGUGACACCCCAAAAUUUUUAACCUUGUUUUAUUAGUUAAAUUUUUGCCAGGAAACUUAAACUUUUGUUUUCUGGAUUUUCUUUUGAUUUCAGAACCUUUCUUCCCUUUAUUUUUAUGGAGUUUUACCCCAAGUGAAAACAUUUCAAUUAUUGUUGGAAUUAUUUUUCCUCUUUAGUAAAACAAUUCUUUUAUCAGUGGGAUUAUUUGCAUAAUUUUUCCCUGAGGCCUUAUUUCUGUAAAAAUGAUUUUUUUUAAGCUUCAGGGCCUCUUUUGCACUGCAACCCUUUGAUAAAUUCAUUCAAAAAUUCCACCAAAAUUUGGAGAUGUCAUGUGAUGUUUUUAAAACACUUUUAUGCUAAAAUAUAUUUCAUUCCUUGGAUAUUUUGAGUUCUACACCAAGUUCUCAAAUCUGGUCCAGAGGACAGUUUUGCACUACAACCUAUUUAAAUAUUUCUUUAAAACUUCUACCAAAAUUUUGGGAUGUCAGUAGGAGCAUAUUAUUCCAUUAUAUGCAAAAUCCAGGGAUGUUCUUUGAAAUAUUUGAGUGAAUCAUCCUCUUAUUCAUUCUGGUGCAACUUGGUGAUUUGCACUGCAACCAUCUUCUAACUUGCUCCUCUACCCAUGAGCUUUCUCCUACUUGUAGUACACCUUACCAAACCCUUAAGUCCAAGAGCAUGAACCCAUUGGGAGAAUUUUUUUUUGUCCAUGCAUUGAUGCCAUUUACCUUCUGUCCAGAACUGAAGAUUUGCAAAACUUGCACUAGCAAGUUUCUUCUUUUGGCAAACUAACCUCACCACUCUCUCUUUCACCUAAAGAGACCCCACUCUGGAAGAUUUGACCAUUCCAAGAAAUGCCUAGGUGCAUGUGGCAUUCUGUCAAACACCUUAUGGGUUUUAGUUUGCACUAUGAACUUGCUUCCCUUGCCUAACUACCUUGUCCAAUAAACUCCUAGCUACCCCUAACCUAGGUCUGCUAAUUCCUAGCCUCAUCCGAGGCCUCUAGCUUGCCCUGGCAUUUUGUCGAGCACAUCCCGUGCGUGCUCUGGGCGCGAGCAGAGCACGCGUUUUGCACGUACCGCGCCCGAGCCGCCACGUCGCGCCCCUGGUUUUGCCCACACCACAGAGCCGCGCCACGCACUCUCCCUCUCACCAGAACACGCCAAGCAGCCCUGGUGCCCUGCAGCACCGCCGUUAGAGCCCUUGGCGGCACGCUGGCGUCCGCAGCGCGUCUCUGCCCGGUCGGUGCCGCCCAAGCCUCUCCCGCUCGCCACCUGCCCCUGGAACAGCUCAGCCUCAUCCUCUCGCGUGUCCUCUAGCUCUCGUCGCCGCCACGACGCCCUGCUGCUAUAGAGAGGCGGUUCGCCGGUGAACUUAUCCACGGCCGCCGCAAACCGACCUCGUUACACUAUAAGAAGAGGCCCCGAGAACGUCCCGUUCCACAGGCAGCCUCAAAAUGCUCCCCUAGUUCUCCCGUGGCAGCCAAUCGACCCGGGGAGGUCUUCUUCCCCACCUCCGGCAACAGCAGCCGCCGCCACUGUCCCGGCCAUUCCGGCGCCACCAGAGCCUCCCCCUCUCCACUCUCUUCACCAUGAGCUUCCUCUCCCCCUAGUGAAUCCAUCCCCCUGCUCGAUUUUGAUCGAGACUCACUGCGAGAGAAAAAUCACUUUGCCCGACGACCACCGUCCACUGCGAAGCUCGCCGCUGGCAGCUUCGUCCACCCCAGAGACCGUAUCAACCACCGGAGUGACCGUCUCGAUCCCCUGAACCCGCGAAUGGCCUCCGUUUCCUGAACGGUGCCGCCAUUCGCCCGCGAGCAUCGCCGGAGCUCCGCCUAUGUUCGGUUGGAGGAGGCGACGCGCGCGUGGACUGGUCAAACCUGACCAGUGGGCCAGGCGGGUCCACUGUCAGUGACCCAGUGCCGAUCCACACAGGCAUAAGUGGAAACGUAUUUUUAGAAUACGCCUUCGACAUGGUCAGUUCGAAUCGUUUUCUUUUUAUUCUGUUUUAUUUUAAAAAAAACAGAUUUUGACCACAGCUUUGACUGCCUAUAACUUUUUAAUGAUAACACCAAAUGAAUUGAUUCCUUUUCCUACCUCUCUCAAAUUUAAUCUAGUUUAUUUUAAGAUUUAUUUAAAAAAAUUCAAACAACUUUUUGUGCUGUUUUGAAUUUGUGUGUUGAUUCAAAUUUUAUUUAAAAUAGGACUUUGGAGAGUGAGAAGCAAACUUUCAAAAGUUUUGGAGUGCACCCUGCCUUUCCACAUAUUGAAGGCAAGCAUUCUGAACCCUGGCAUAAUAUUUUGCAUGCGUUGUUUGACACGAUUAUGACACCACCUCAGUACGUGGAACUCGUUAGUUUAUGUGGUGAUGUGAUCGUUUGCAUAAAUGCUUAUUGGAAAUUUCCUUGCUGUUGGAAAUGGACAUGCUUGUGAUAGUGAUCAUCCUCGUAUGCCUUUCAUGCCUACCGGAAGGAAAACGGGAAAGUCUCUGUCUUGGGUAGACCCGAGCUUGUCCCUAGUUCCUCGUCGAGACGAGUGUGUCUGGCAUGGCAUGAGGGGUAUGAUGAGUGGUGAUUCUGUCUGUUGGAUGAAAUAUAUUCGUUAUGCUAAUCAUGCAGUGAACACUUAAAAACCUCCUGAGUCGGCCAUAGAUCGAGUCUUGUUCCAGUAACCCCCAUACUUGUUUCGUACUACCACUUGUCUCUACAACAAGUAGAGUACGGUUCACUAAGUCUUCAACCCCUUUCUAGCACACACCAUAUAGAGAGGCCAUGGUGGAAGAUACCGGUUGUAGCUGGUAGGCAGGCCACCUGGUCCGGGGGCAUGGGUGUUUCCGGUUGAGACCGAGAGGGGAGGCCACCCCUUAGAGCGCGCGAUAUAAAUUUGAUCCCAUGCUACGCGAGGUUGUAGCAUCCCCACUUAGAGUUUUGCUUAACAAGUGUUGUGGGUGAUUCCAGACACCGGUAAGUUAAGCUGGUGUGUGCAAGUUAGGUGUGUUUUCAACUAAAAGGCCGUAGACGGAAUUAGUCCCGAUGGACUAAAGGAAUCCGUUACUCGUGGGUAAAGAGUACACCCUCUGCAGAGAUUAAACCUAUUCGAAUAGCCGUGUCCAUGGUUAAGGAUUACAGUCUGGGAUGGGUCAAGUGUCGGUCUUAGUGUCGGUCUUCGGAGGAGAAACUGUUAUACCAGAACUGGGAUCACGACUUGAGACUUGUAAUGAUUAUGAUUAUUAUUUUGUUGUGGACUAACCCGUUAUGUAAUUGGCAUUAUCGAAUAUCCCUGGGAUGGUGCUACCUCCUGGAUAUUCACUGUGAUUAUUUAUAAGCCCUUUAUGUGGUGUCACUGAGACGCCCGACUAUGGCAUGCUUGUUACUUAUUUACUUUAUAAGCCCUUUAUGUGGUGUCGCUGAGACGCCCGACUGUGGCAUGCUUGUUACUUAUUUACUUUAUAAGCCCUUUACGUGGUGUCGCUGAGACGCCCGACUGUGGCAUGCUUAUUAUUUACUUAUUUUGUAAGCCCUUUAUGUGGUGUCGUUGAGACGCCCGACUGUGGCAUGCUUGUUAUUUACUUAUUUUAUAAGCCCUUUAUAUGGUAUCGCUCAGACGCCCGACUGAGGCAUUUCUCUUUGUUUACUAACCUUUCGAGGCGUCGCUUCAGACACCCGAUCGGUGCAUUUUAUUAUUAAUAUGUUAUUGCAUAUUCAUAAAUAACCUGCUUGCAUGCAUCAGAGUUUUAUUAUCUUUUGUGACUAACGUCGUGAACUUAAAAUAUUUCAGAACAUCGUUGUUAUAUUAUACAUGUAUUCAUAAUGUUUGCGAGUACAUUCAAAGUACUCACUGGCUUGUCCCUGGCUAUUGUCUUGGCCAGAUUUCUUGCGCGGAGAAGAGCGACUGUGAUGAUAGCUCUGGAACCUAAGCUAUGGUGAUAGCAGCCUCGCGAAGAUAGGAGUUAACCUGGUCAGCUGUUCCUGUGGGAAAUGGAGUCCCAUAGACGCUGAUGACCCACAAACUGCUUCCGCCAUCAACCACGAGAAACCAUUUGUUGUACUCACAGGCCAUAAUGAUCUUGUGCUACAUAUUUUGUAUUUUGCUUGGAAUUCUGUAACAAGUUGGUGCCUCAUCAGCUAACAGUAAUCCUGGGGCUCGUGAGCACAAAGGCCAUUUUCUGGGAAAUUAUUACCCGGAAAACCGGUCGCCACAAUCACCAUGUCUAAAAGAAGAAUCAUGACGGACACAACUUCAAGAAAUUCUUCUUGUCAAAUAACAUGAUUUGUAUAUAGCUCAUAGAGGAUAUAACUUGUUGGUAGAAUUUAAUAUUGUGACACACUCGCCAUCUUUUGUGCCAGCAUUAUUUGGGUGAUGAUUUAAUAUCCAAAAGCAUACAGGUAGUUAUGUGCAAUGAUAUUCUUGUGAAAAUAACUUCCAUAGUGUAUACUUGCAUAUAUGUAUUGCUCUAUUGUAUUCUCACAGUUAAUCCUUUUUCUUAAUUUUCUGUUUGUUUAUUUAUGUUUAGAGCAAGAUUAUAAAUUAAGCUGAGCAUAAUUUCUGCAGAUUAUAGAUGGCCCAAUAAAGACAAAGGGCGAAGGUACAAACUUCAAGUAAUUCUUCUUGCCACAUAGGUUUUUCUAAUUGUGCGAGCAUACCAGUUGUAACUGCCUUCAGUCAUCUAUGUCAGUAGUAUUUUGAGAAGAAUUUCAUUACAAAAUGCAACGACUCAAAUAAUCAGAUUGUUCAUGAUGAUUCCUAAUUGUAUAACCAAUAAGCUUAACACACCUUCCUAUUUUAGAGUUGUUAUCUUAAUAAGUAUAUACUAUAUGUUAUUAAUGUUGUUGUUGGGUGAAGAACAUUUGUUGCUCAUGGUUAGAAUGCAGAAUUUUCUUAACACAACAACCUAGAGCGAAUGUGGAGGCCAAUAUAGAUUAAAACCAUUAAUUCAUAUUAAAAUGGUCAUGACUUCUUAUUUUUAUUUGACAUAAAUGUUUGUGACUUGUUUGAAUUAAUGUGUUCUGCAAUUAUAUGAUACUUCCAUAUUCAUACUAUUUUUAUGAAAUGUGCAGCUAGUUUGUCAACAGGAGCACGAACAACCACAACUUCUACAAAGCUUCCACAUGGUUUCAUUUAGUAUCAUGCAAAAGACAUUGAGACAAUCAAGAUUACUUGAGCAACCUGAAUUAUGUUAGUUGUUACCUGCUUUCAAACGAAUGUGUCCUCUCAUAGUAUGCAUGUACUUCUGUUGUUGAGGAAUUUAUAUCAUUAGACAGUUCUGUUUUUCAUAAUUAUUGAUUAAUGGGUACAUACCUUCAAUCCUGGAAGAUUAUCAGAUAGCCAGCCAAGGAAGCGAUUUGUUUAUUGAAUUGGGCAUAAUAGGAACAUUUUUACAUUCAAAGGAACAUCAUAGGAAUAAUUUGGUAUUUCAAGAAGAUUUUCCAGUCCCCUGCCCCAACCUACUGGAGACAGUAUGAGUGGUGACAGACACAUUUGUAACAUACGAGCAAGCCAGUGCAGCAGCUUCAGUCACAUGCUCUGGAAGCCCAUUUUGGGUCUUCCUUUAGAAGGCUCAACAAGGCCAUCAUCACACCAUUCUAGUUAGUUACUUCUGCAACGAUAUAUGUCCGUAAGAACAUAAGAAGCUAGGGUUCUAGUAGACUUAUAAUGCUCUAACAGCACCACGUUGGAUAUGCCCGUACAAAUAAAAUAACUUGAAUCGAGUCUAUAUGUAAGAACAUAUCUUGUCAUCAGUCAACUACUAGUACAGUAAGAGCAUCAAAGAGGAAUUCAUUUCAUAUAGAAUAGUCGCAAUCAUAUACUUUUGUUCUGCACAUACUGCUCAUUAUCAUGGACAAUGAUGUAGCUAGCUAAAAGGGGGCAUGUGGCUAUAAUGUAAGCAGGGAGGCUCCAGGGACGAGCUCAACAGACAGAACUAACCUGCUCUUGCAAGGAACCAGUAAGCCUUGCUACAUUGUCACCUGCAUGCUGCAUGGCAUCGCGUCCACCAGCUAUUGUGGUAUGUCGCAACUCUUUCCUCACAUCUUUUCACCGAAGCGAUCGUUGGCGAAUUCUAAUCUUUCUGGAACAACAUUCCUAAUUCCCUGCACUAGAAGGUCAUCAUGAUGCAUCGGUACAUCGGAAUUCCGGACACAUUAACAAAAUCUUUGCCCAAACCAAAUUAAGGGGGAAAUGAGAAAUGAAGGAGAGAACCAAAUAGUAAGUUAGGUUAUAUAUAUGUAUGUAUGUAUCUAUAUAUAUAUAUAUAUAUAUAUAUAUAUAUAUAUAUAUAUAUCGUUCAUAGUAAAAACAACCGGAAGUGUAUCCAUGUUGUUUGCUUAGGUGGCUGAAAUCAAGGUCCUAUUCACUGGGAUGAUAAACCUACUAAAUAAAAGGGUUCUCAAAGUCCCCUCAGAACUAGAGUCGAGUAACACAGUCAUGGUCCCAUGGGGUUUCAGGAUAACGACAUGAAAAUGUGGUUAACACAAUCAGCUCUCUCAUUAAGAUUUGUCUUAUUUUUAUCACUACGGGAAAAUUCAUGUUUGCAGAGUGUUAGUGUCUUUGUUGAGUGCAUUAUGUUGGGCACUCGGCAAACAUAUCUUUGCCGAGUGUAAUCCUGAAACAUGGUAAACAUGUGCUUUGCCCACUGUCGUGGAAAAAAACUCUGGCAAAAAAGUUAUAGUUACUAAAAGGUGCUUUGUUGAGUGUCUUGGAAAUAACUCUCGGCAAAAUAGUGGAACUCGGGCAAAGAUGUGCUUUCCCGAGUGCUACACUCGGCAAAAGGGGGUAUGCACUGUGCUCACUGUUUUGGCUGUCGAGAUUGCAUACAACCUUGGAUGAAGAUGAUCCAAAAAUCGAAGUUUUUUAUUUCGACAAGAUGAAUAGUUUUCAUGUUGAGGACCUUUUCAUUUUAGGCCAUAUUAUUUACACUUUUUGCCAUGCCAAAAUAUGGUCCCAAAUGAAUAAGGCAGUGGUCAUAUUUAUUGCAUAGUUUAUGACUAUGGUCCUAACCUUGGCAUUUAUGUGCAUCUUGCCAUUACAAACAAUUUUGCCAAAUAGAGAUUCCAACAUUUUGUACAAAAAUAAUUUUUUUAUUUUUGAAGCAUAAAAAAUUGAUACUUUUGUGAAGCUGGUAAAAAAAAUAGAGUGCAAAAUGGCAUCACUCCAAUUUUCACAAAAAUAGACCAUGCUUUUUUAGAAAAUUCCCAUUUCUUGUGGAUUUUCUAGAUUUCUAGCUACUUUCACACAUUUAUAUGACUUUAUUAUGAUUCCGCAAAAUUAAUUCAAUUUGAACUGUAAUUGUGUGAUAGCUCUGUCCUAGAAAUUUGCAAAAAAUACUUUUAAGUACACAAGUAGUCAUUACCUGGAAAACCCACUUAGAGUUUGAGAGAUUCAACCCCUUACAUGAGUAGCCAUGCCGGCCACUUUCACCCCGUUUGGGAAAAAAUGAAACCAAAAGGAUACAAGUUCAAAAAAUGCAAUCCUUUCAUAUGAACUCCUUUUAUCUGUACUAGUGUGGAUGAAAAUACCAAACUUUCAAUAUGACAGUUUUCAAAGAAAAAUAUCCUUCACAAAUGGGCUAUCCUCUAUGAACAUUCAUGGCUUUCAAGUCAAUGACCAAGGUGAUGACCAUAUUCAUUGCAUAGUUUAUUAUAAUGUGCCUAAAUUAGACAUAUAGGUGAACCUUGCCAUUACCAAUAAUGUUGCAAAAUAGAAUUUCCAACUUUUUUGUUCAAAAAAAUCAUUUUCUAUUUCAGUAUAAAAAAUGGGUGUUUUUUGUGAAGCAGGUACCAAAAACAGGGUACAAAAUGGCACCACUCCAAUUUUCACAAAAAGUAGACCGUAUUUUAUGGACAAUUCCCAAAGUGUGUAGAUUUAUCUCUUAAAAUUUAACAAUUGGUGUAUUUUUUAAUAUUUAAUGAAAAUAAUAUAUGUAUUUUUAAUAGGAAGGGCGGAUAUUUAAAGGAUAGCAUAGACAUCUGAGGGUGUACGUUAAAGCGUUGGAGGUACCUUUAUGUGUCAGUUUACGCCAUGCUCAACCGGCAAUGUGGUAGUAUUAAUCAGUAUAUACUUUUGAUUGUAAAAGAAAUCAAUAUAUAAUUUGUUUGGAUUAUUUUAGUUUGCAGGGCAAACUUAAAAUGGAUUUAUUUAGCCUAUUUUUGUGAAAUCACUAAUUAGGAGGUACCUUUUGCAAAGGUCACACCCCACUUUCAUUAGUGCUGACAGGUGGCACAUGGCAUGUGUGUCCCUUGUCGCAACAUGGGAGUUUCCCCUUUUUGUAGAUUCAUUUUUUAAAAUCUUUUAUCUCUUGAACCGCGCAUUCAAAUCACGACCCAUUUUUAUCGUUGGAUUUCUCCCGCCGAGAUCUUUGAAACUAGUCACAUGUUAAUAAGUUCCGAUGAACUUUUUCUUCACGAAAAUCAAACAAAAAAAUAUGAAAACAAAAAAUACAGAAAGCAAAAAAAGAAAAAAAAACUAAAAUCAAGGUUGUGCUUUUUUACAUUUUUGGGAAGAAAAAGUGUGCUUUCCCCUUUUUGGGAAACACGGUUUUGCUUCUUGUGCAAGCAUAGGUCGUGCUUUUCCCUUUUCAAGAAGCAUAGGCCAUGCUUCUCUUGUUCUCCGGGAAGCACAUAUGUGCCUUUCCUUUCGGGGAGCACAGUUUUCUCUUUCGGAAAAGCAUAGAUGUGUUUUUCCCUUUUCAGAGAAGCACUACCUAUGCAUCUCACCGAAGAACAUGCUAUGCUUUUCCUUUUUUGAGGAAGUAUAGUUGUGCUUUCCCUUUUUUACAGGGUAGCAAAAAUUGUGCUUUCUUCCUUCUCGGGAAGCUAUGCUUCCCGCGGAAAAGCACCGCCUCAUGAAAAAACAUAAAAAUGUUUUUUUUUCAUCAAAACCUAGGGAAAACCAAGAAAAAAAAGAAAACAUGUGUAAAAAAAUCUAAGGGUGAACCCAGUGCACGACACGUGGCGGCAAUUGGAUGCAUCACUUGAUGCGCUCUCAGGUCCUAAAAGUAGCCUAUGUGGAAUCCCCCGAUGAGAUACCCGUUAGAUAGUUGGAGACCUCCUUGCAUCAAAUAGGAGGGUGGCCACAAAGGGGGCGCAUCCUGGUGGGCCGGCCCAGCAGCGUGCUACACUCUAGCGCAAAUUGGUCAAAAUCUAAAAAGUGAUGUGUGAUCAAAGCGCGCAUGGCUAGCCACUCAAGCUAAUGAAACUCUGCUAACUACUAGGCCGUGUUGAACUUUAAAAAGUACUAUAUGAUACCCCGCGCGUUGUUGCGGGAACUCUUAGUACUUUACAUGAAGAAGCUUGUGGAGUGAAAAUAAUUAAAUGAUGAAAAUAUACACUUUUUAAAACCUUUGGUGGUACUUGUAGGAACAUUAUGGAGUGAAAAUAAGUUAACAAUUAAUAUAUUUUUAAACCUUUGAUGGUAUUUUGAGAAUCAUGAGAGAAAUGGUAUAUUAGGGUAUCUCUGUAUUUAUGUAGUUAGAACGCGCCACCCUUCAGCGGGGAAUUAAAUGCAUCGCUAACAUUAAAAAAUAGAGCAUAUAGUUUGAUGGGAAUUUCACUGAAAACAUGGCCAGCCAAGUCUAAAGCUGAAUAUUACACUGAACAGAGAGCCCAAUCAUUGCCUAACACAAAAGCACUAAUGCUUGUUGAGUUAUUUGUAAUAUAGGAGCAGAAUCCCUUCGAAAGAGAAAUUCCAAAAUAUUAAAAAGAUCCAACAGUAAGACAUCCAUACACCUUACAGUUUAUACAUGGAGACAAGCUACAUACCAAUCGCUAAAAAGGUGAAUAUAGAGUCAUGCACAUCAGGCCCUCAUGGCAUAGAUGCAUUUCUUCCACUAAAAGGACAUGCCUUAAGGGGAUUAGUGUAGGUGUGAAGAUCUGGACAUAUAAAUGGCAGGAAUGACUUCAUCUUCCUACCCCUUCUAUGGAAACAGAGGCCCGACUUCAAUUGGGAUCCGUUUGACAUGUUGCUCCCUCUUCAUAAAAUGGAGCUGAUCGUUAUCUAAAAGCAAGCUAGGUAGAUUUGGCAUGGCCAGCAGUAGUACUUGCUACUUUGCCAGUUGUGAUGCAUCAUAUGAGAAGGCAAGGAAGGUUGUGUGCUGCCAUGGCCGGACCCUUUGGGGUGCCAAAUGGUGUUCAAAUUUAUAGUAGGUUCCAUUUUUGGUGGGAAUCCAAGGAAAAGAAGGCAAUGGAGUAAGAUGACAACCCAUUCCCAGACUGCCACUCAAAAUCAAAAUGAAGAGGGUAAAUAAAUGUACUUACUAAGAACACACGGAUAACAUAUAGCUGGCUACAGAAACAGCCAAACUUUGUAAGUCCACGGAAAUUGAGGAAAUUGUGAAAACUAUUUCUGUGAGUAGAAGGAAACGUAGUCCAGUUACCUUUCAUGGUAAUGCUUCUCUUGAGACGAUUCUUAGGAUCCCUGAAGAAUGUCUUCUGUUUUCCUGAAGCGGGAUUCCUUGCUAGAGCAGUACCUUUUGUUCUCUUGAGUUAAGGCAGAGUGGGAAAUACAUCACUAUCAGCUCUAGUUCAAUUGCUUGUAUUUUACAAAAACAUACAAUUGAAACAAUUAUCAGGAAAAGUUAUUACCUUAAUCGCAGCAACUCUUUGAGCAUGCAAUUUGGCGUCUUGGUGUAUAAUCUUCAUGUGUAAACAAUUUGUUUUAGCAUCUAGACUCUAUAAUUAAAAUUAAUAAGUUCUUUAAAAGCCAAAGGCAACUAUAUAGACCAAUACAAUUAAACAAAGGCAGCGGGUAGGUUUCAAAUUUGAAGUAGCAGGGCUCCAUAGUUAACUCUCCAUCAUGCAGGCAUUUAGUGUAGUAGAUACAAGACAUACGUGUGACAGAUUGCAUAUGAACAACAUUUAUUAGUAGGAAAAUUGUACUACCGUAUAUUGCACUAACACUAACUAUAUGAAGAAGCCAAUAGCAUGUAAUUUCAGCUUGCAAGAAAGCGCCACUUACUCUUAUAGAUCGGCUAAUCUACAUGGCAACUUCCGGGGAUGGUGAUGGAUAAGUACAGUUGGAUCGUGUUUAGGUGUUAAUCUAUUUUUAUAAAAAUCAUCUUCCUUUACUUUCAAGGGAGAACUGUAGAGGGGAAAGAACAACAUUUUUUAAUCUAAUGAUCCAUCACUUAUUCACAACUAUUGCAAUAACCAAGUAUGUUGGAUGCAAGGAGGAGGUGAGAGUGCAGGCAACAUGUAUGUCACAUCAUGCGAACAGGUGGGGAUCAUGUUAAGUCAAUGCAGAAGGAUGCGUUGUGUGUCCGCGCACCGUCAACACCGCCGAGUAAACAGUAAACUAAACCUGGGGACCAGCGCUCUUGACCUUCCCAGCUACUUCUGGCAUAGGGGGAAUAUUUGAGGAUUUAUAGUGCUGAGAUUAGGGUUNNNNNNNNNNNNNNNNNNNNNNNNNNNNNNNNNNNNNNNNNNNNNNNNNNNNNNNNNNNNNNNNNNNNNNNNNNNNNNNNNNNNNNNNNNNNNNNNNNNNNNNNNNNNNNNNNNNNNNNNNNNNNNNNNNNNNNNNNNNNNNNNNNNNNNNNNNNNNNNNNNNNNNNNNNNNNNNNNNNNNNNNNNNNNNNNNNNNNNNNNNNNNNNNNNNNNNNNNNNNNNNNNNNNNNNNNNNNNNNUCCUCCCGAAGCUUCCUAGGUUUCUUCUGGUCCAAGAAAAAUCAUCGUAAAGUUUUAUUCGUUUGGACUCCGUUUGAUAUUCCUUUUCUGUAAAACUCAAAAACAAGAGAAAAAAACAGAAACUGACACUGGGCUCUGGGUUAAUAAGUUGGUCCCAAAAAUAAUAUAAAAUAACAUAUUAAUGCAUAUAAAUCAUCCAAAAUAGAUAAUAUAAUAGCAUUGAACAACCAAAAAAUAUAGAUACGUUGGAGACGUAUCAGGAUCAUGUUAAGUCGAUGCGAAAGGAUGCAUUGUGUGUUCGCACACUGGAUGCUUGUAUUUAUAUGGCUCUAUCAGCGUCGCCGAAUAAACUAAAUCUGGGGACCGGUGCUCUUGACCUUCCCAACUACUUCGACUGGAAAUCAGAUCCUCCAUGCCAAAUAAGAAAGACCAUUCAGGUCGUGCUGAUUGAGAGGAAAGAGACCACUCACCUCCGACAAUGGCACGUGUGGCUCGCCUGAAGGUCCUUGGGUUGAAUCCACGGUGUUGGGCUAGCGUAGCACCCAUUGGCGGCAAUCAUGGGGCUCCAAGAUGGCGUCACCAUGUAGAUGUCUGGUGUUGUUGGCCAUAGACGGUUUUGUCAAAGGCGACGCAUUAUGGAAAGAUGGAUAGAUGAAAGAGGGGAGGAGAAGAACCUGGAAGACAAUAGAUAUUUAUUGGUGAAGGGGAGAUGAACGGAAUCAUCGGGCGAAGAGGUGAUGGCUCGUGUCCGCAUUAGUAUUUUCCCCGAAGAGGAAGGGAUGAUGCAACACAGCUACGGUAGGUAUUUCCCUCAGUGAUGAGACCAAGGUUAUCGAACCAGUAGGAGAACCAUGCAACACUAUGUAAACGGUACCUGCACACAAAGAACAAAUACUUGCAACCCGACGCGUAAGAGGGUUGUCAAUCCCUCCCGGGUAAAAGAUAGAUUGGUUUCUAGUAGAUUGGAUAAAUAGAUCUCGCGGAAACCCAAAAUAAAAUAAAUAACAAAAAAUUGCAUCAAGGUAUUUUUGGGUUUUUAGAAUAAUAGAUAUCUAUACCUACUAAUAAAAGAAAUAGGUAUUCUUCGUCCGUCAUGCUAUUUUGUAGAAAACCCCCUGAUGUUUCUGACAUUAAACCCGCAGUACAUAUCAAGUGCUUUUUAAAAUACUCAUAAUUUUAAACCAUAACUCCAAAUUUAACAUAUUAUAUAUGGAAUUUAAUUAGAAAAUUAUUUAGAAUCUAAAUAUGAUGUUAUUUUACCUAUUAACAAUUUUUAAAAUAAACUAUCUAGGCUGCAAUGUUAAUCAACAAUGCAUUAUCCGUCUUUUUUUCAUACCGGUAUUGAUUUAGAUUGGGGAUGAAAACCUCAGCAAAAUCAGGAUUGGACAUCAGAUUGAAGAUAAAUUUGUUAGAGACACCGAAUAAAUAAGGACAUGCAUGACAAGAAAUAAAAAGAUCCAAUAAAGAUGGGAUGUCCGCUAUAAAAAUAAAUAAAAGAGAAAAUGCAGAGGAGAUCCGAUAAAGAUGAGAUGUUGCGCUAUUCUCCUAUAUAUAAGAAGAGUAAAAGGAGGACAUGCAUGAAAAAAGGUAAAAAGGAGGCAUGCAUGAAAAAAAUACAAGUUUUAUAAGAAAUAAAUAGUGAUGAAACAGGGACCAAUACCUAUGACAUGUAUGGCAAGAAAUAGUGAUGAAAUAGGGGCACAAGUACCUGAGUCAACAGGAGACCAUAAAAAAUGUUGUUUUCCAGACCAAAAAAACCUAUUUUAUGAUUAAAAAAUCUUGUACCUUUUUAACUCUUCAUGUAUUUAAGAAAUAGCUACAAAUUCUCGGAUUACAAAACAUUUUUUGUAAAUUAAGAGUGUGUGGUACUUUUUUCCCGUUGCAACGCACGGGCCUUUUUGCUAGUGAAAAUAAAAGAGGCAAAUAAUAGAUCGGAAAGCAAAUAUGAUAAAGAAUAGACCCGGUGGCCGUAGAUUUCACUAGUGGCUUCUCUCCAGAAAAAUAGCAUACAGUGGGUAAACAAAUUACUGUUGGGCAAUUGAUAGAACUUCAAAUAAUUAUGACGAUAUCCGGGCAAUGAUCAUUAUAUAGGCAUCAUGUCCUAGAUUAGUAGACCUACUCCUUCCUGCAUCUACUACUAUUACUCCACACAUCGACUGCUAUCCAGCAUGCAUCUAGUGUAUUAAGUUCAUGGAAAAAUGGAGUAAUGCAAUAAGAAUGAUGACAUGAUGUAAACAAGAUCUAUUCAUGUAGGAAUAGACCCCAUCUUGUUAUCCUUAAUGCAACGAUCAAUAUGUGUCUUGCUGCCCCUUCUGUCACUGGGAAAGAACACCGCACGACCGAUCCCAUCACAAAGCACCUCUUCCAUGGCAAGAAAAAUCGAUCUAGUCAACCUAACUAAACAAAAGAUUUGAAGAAGAAUACGAGGCUAUAAGUAAUCAUGUGUCUAAGAGAUCAAAACUCAAAUAACUUUCAUGUAUAAAAUAGAUCUGAUCAUAAACUCAAAGUUCAUCGGAUCCCAACAAACACACCGCAAAAAGAGUUACAUCAAAUAGAUCUCCAAGAGACCAUUGUAUUGAGAAUCAAAAGAGAGAGAGGAAGCCAUCUAGCUACUGCCUACGGACCCAUAGUUCUACAAUGAACUACUCACGCAUCAUCGAAGAGGCACCAAUGAGGAUGAUGAACCCCUCUGUGAUGGUGUCUAGAUUGGAUCUCAUGGUUCCGGAACUUGCGGCAGCUCGAAUUGUGUUUCGUCGACUCCCCUAGGGUUUUUGGAUUUUCGGGGUAUUUAUAGAGCAAAAAGGUUGUGCGGGAGGGCACCGAGGUGGGCACAACCCACCAGGGCACACCUGGGCCCCCAGGCGUGCCCAGGUGGGUUGUGUCCCCUGGGGGCACCCAUCUGGUACUUCUUUGGCCCAAGUUGUUCCGUCUGGUAUAGAAAAAUUCUCCAAAAAGUUUCAUUGCGUUUGGACUCCGUUUGGUAUUGAUUUUCUGCGAAGUAAAUAACAAGCAAAAAAUAACAACUGGCACUGGGCACUAUGUCAAUAGGUUAAUAAAAUGAUAUAAAGUUGCUAUAAAAUGAUUGUAAAAUAUCCAAGAAUGAUAAUAUAACAGCAUGGAACAAGCAAAAAUUAUAGCUAUGUUGGAGACGUAUCAAGAGGCAAUAAGAGGAAGGCGCAGCAAUCAGUUCGACAGUAGUAAAAAAUUACACGAUUCGUUUCGUUGAAAAGGGAAAAAGGAAGCAUUGGUGACGUGGCAGAUUUUCUUACGUGGAUGGCUGCAUGUUGAUUGCUGAUGUGGAUAGGCUACAUGUCAAGAGAAAUAUGGUACUGGGAUGAACUAUUUAGGUAUUAUAGAUGCGCAACAUCACAUCUAAACUCUUUAUGAAAUUACAAAACACGAUGGUUUUUAAAAUGGAUAUAUUUUGGAACCCAAUUUUUUUAAAUUUAUGAAUAAAUUUUUGAAAACUUGAACAAUUUCUUGAGUCUAUGAACAAUUUUUUGAACACGAACUUUUUUUCAAAAUUUCAAAACGCAAUUACUUUUUUAAUGCAACCUUUUUCAAAAUUCAAAAACAUGAUUGUUUGUAAAGUGAAUAUGUUUUUAAAAUUCUAGACUAAAUUUGCAAGUUGAAUAUGUUUUGAGAAACACUCGAAAUUGUGGACGUUUUCUAAAACGUCAAAGAACUUUGAAAAACAUCAAACAUUUUUCAAAGCACGGAUUCUGGGGAAAAAACAAAUUCCGAACAUCUUUUAGAAAUUUUGAAUUUAUGAAAAAAGAAAAAGAAACAGAAAAUGAAAAAGAAAGAAAGCAAGGAAAAGCAGUGAAGAAAUAAAACAGAAAAAGGGAAAAAACCUGAAAAUAGUGGUAAAGACUGAUCCUAGCUACUUGGGCUAGUCCAUCUAUGGUUUACUCGCUGCUCAUUUCGGAGAUUUCUUUUAGGGGUAAAACCAAGUUUUAUACAUCAAACACCAUAGAGUGUGGGAUAGAGUUUGGGUCAUGGCAUUUUCCAAAGCAAACAUUGCGUCCCAGACCUAACGAAAGAGAAAACCUGCCUAGAUUAUGUGCUUCGACAUUUACAGGAUGAUCUUUAGAUAAAAAAAUACAAUGAAAUAAAUACGGUUGCAACUUGAUCUCGUUGAUAAUGGCUCGUUUCCACAUAGUUUGCUCACAUUUUUGAGAGAAAAUUUAGCCUUGAUGGGCUGGGAAAUUGGGCCAGCCAUCCUCGAGUGUGACUGGCUUGACUUUGUCUAGUAUAAAGCCCAUCACGUUGCCCAAGAGCCCACCCUUAUCUAUUUUUCUACAGGACCCACAUAUGUUUGGUUCCUUCAGCACGAUGGGCCACCUCCCAGCCUCCCUCGCCCGCUCGACAGCUCCCCCACCAAUAGAGUUAGGCCCUCGACCCUCCCCCACCCCAAGGUUGCGCGCAUGUCCCUUCCCGACAUCUCUUCCACACGGCCUCGUCCCACCCCAUGUUCUCCCCCAAGUGCUUUGUCGAGUGUCAUGGAAAAAUAUUCUUGGCAAGAUAGUGGAACUCACGCAAAAUGUGCUUUAUCAAGUGCUACACUCGGCAAAAGGGGGUAUGCAGGGAAGCAAAAUCGUGCUUUUUUCCUUCUCGGGAAGCUGCGCUUCCCGUGGAAGGCUUCAUCAAAAACCAGAAAAAAAGAUUUUUUUUUUCAUCAAAACCUAGGGAAAAUAAAAGAAAAAAAACACGUGUAAAAAAUAAAAUCUUAAGGGUGUACCUGCACACGACAUGUGGCCGCAGUUGGGCACAUCACUUGAUGCGCUCUCAGGGCCUCAAAGUAACCUCUGCAGGAACCCUCGACAAGAAACCCAUCAGACAGUUGGAGUCCCCCUUGCGUCAAAUAGGAGUGUGGCCACAAGGGGAGCGCGUCCUGGUCGGCCGGCCCAGUAGCCUGUAGCACUCUACCGCAAAUUUGUCAAAAUCUAAAACAUGACGUUUGAGCAAAGCUCGCAUGGCUAGCCAGUCAAGCUGAUGAAACUUUGCCAACUACUAUGUCGCGUUGAUCAGUAAAAAUUAUGUGCAACAUCACAUAUGAAAAAAAAUUGGAAUUUCAAAACACGAUUGUUUUUAAAAUGAACUAGUAAAGUGGCCCGCUCGAUGUGCGGGCUAGAUUUUUAAGUUUUUUUUAAUAAUAUCAUAUUGUUUGAUUUGGCUAAAGAAAAAUUGGAACCCAAUAUGACGACUUUAUUGUGCGGGCUCAAUCUUUGAAUUGUCUAUUAUGUUUUAUGAUUGAAUUUCUUAUCUGUAGUAAGUCAAUACAUAAUUAUGACGACUUUAUUGUGCGGGCUCAAUCAAUAUUAUUAUUUACUGUUAUUCUUCUUAUUUUUAUUGUUAAAAAAACAAUGUUAAAGUCAACCCAUUUGAAAAAAACUAAUUUAAUGUAAGUAUAGUAUCUAAAGUCCUAGUAUAGUAAUUUCAUUUUAAUUUAAUUUUAUUGUAUUCUUCCAUUUUGAAAAUGUAUUUUUAUUAUGAAUCUAGCACUUUAGUUAAAAUACAAAUAAAACUACUACAUUACUGAUCCCAAAAUUAAACAAAAAUGUGUACAUAAACUUGUCUUUAUCAUCGAUGAAUUACAACCAGAUCAUAUGUUUAAAUAAUGGAUAUUUAUAUUAUUAAUCAACCAAGCAUAGUUCUUUUGAUCUCGUAGAUUGUGAUUUCCCAAUAGUGUCUUGUCUUUUUGUUUAUGUGCAAAUAAUAGUUCACCUAUCAUAUUUUACGAGAAUGGGAAACAAAUAUAAGAAAUAGAACUGAAAGAAUUAUAUGGACGUCUAUUCUUGGAAAAUUGUUUAUGGUGUCACCAUCUCGUUCACGUGUGAGUAUGCAAUCUAAUUUCUAACAUGGCAUUCUUUCAUCCGUGAAGAAAUUUCAAGUUAUCACAACGCGACAUGAGUUCGAUAGAAUAUUAACUCAUUCGAAAAAAAAGAUAUGUACAUACAAAACUAAUGAAGUAACUUCAGUAAAAAUUAAUAUGUUACCCAAGAUUUUGAGGGACUGUGAUUUUGAAGGGGUAUUACAUUUUUGUAAUGUUAACUUGACACAUUGGUGAGAAACACAAUUCGAAUAGAAUACACUAAAGCUGAGAAAACAGAACUUUGUUGAACAAUAAUUAACCGGCUAAGAACUUACAAUGUAUCAUGCCUUUGCUGUUAACAACUAUAUGCAGCAGUAUUUUUUUUAUAUUUAUAAUUAUCACUCAAACUAACUUUUUAGAAAGCAUACUAAUUAGUUAGAUAUUCAGGGAUGCAUUGAUAACAGUAAUCGCUAUCGUCUAGCCUUGCCUCCUGUCUGAUGCACUACAAGCAAAGGAUUCAAAACUACGUUUUCCUGUAAUGUAAAACAAUAAUACUUCAUGGAGAUCAUGUUUGCAUGUGCAUAUGGAAUUCAUCAAUAGUAGGUAGAAAAGUCCUAGCUAGCUUAGCCUAGCUUAGGAUAACGCCCUGGCAUCUAAACUGCUUCAUAUAUGCAAUCCAAUUGUAUGGGUCAAAUAUACAAAACCUGAAGCUCAUGGUCUAGAUGUUUCAUUGAUAAUAUCAUUUCCACCAGACUGGCGACCGAUUAUACAGUAGUCUACCUGUAUUGUUUAACACUGAGAUACCGCAUCAGCCAAAUCAUAGCACCUGAGGUGCCUCUUCUUGUGGACGGUGAGAGCAUAUCUGUAAUAAUCAUCCUUUGUAUAACAUUAUUUAUACCUCCAAAUGUUGCACCACACAUGUUCAUCUUUAGAGUCAAGCCCUAUUGCAGCGCAGGUUGUGCUUGGCCAGCACCUUCGUGAUGAACUUGCCAGUGACCACAGUGCAAGCAACUACCAGUACCCAGGAAGCCUCGACGAAGCCAAUGACGUACUGCUCUAUUUCGCGCCGGUGCCAUGUGGCCCACUUGUUUCCCUGAGCAUGUCGGUAUCGACAAAGGAACGAUAGUCGCUAGAUUAAAGGGAAGUGAGAUGGAAAGACACACUCGAGGAGGAAGAUGUUUAGGACUAUGUAUUUGCAUACUCUUUUGGAUCAAGGACGUGGGAUGUAAGUACGGUGUUUGCCUUUUUUUCUUUCUCUUUUUAGCUUUGAAGGGAUGUGUACAUGUUUUUUUUAUGUCUACAUGCUUGAUUUUUUUCCUCUAGAGGGAUAUGUACUUGUUUGUAUUUUUAAAAGGUUGGGGGAUCAUUCAUUUUGUACGCACUUGUUUUUUUUUCAAAUGUAUGUACGUGCCUGAUGGAUAUGUGUGGGGACGUUCUUUUUUAUAUAUGUGGGAUAUGUACGUGCUUGUAUUUUUAAAAGGCUGGGGAUCAUUCAUUUUGUACGCACUUGUUUUUUUUUCAAAUGUAUAUACGUGCCUGAUGGAUAUGUGUGGGGACGUUCUUUUUUUUCCAUGAUGGAUGAACGAUGUGGGAUGUGUAUUUUUUUAUAUCUGGGGGUACACUCUUUUUUAGUGUCCACCGGGUUAUGAAGAUCUAAGGCCUAUGAUUAUAAAAAGAAGAAAAGAAAAAAAUCACCGAUGAACUAUCGGGUUUCUGGUGGGGAGAUGGACAGGAAAAGAGGAAAAUGCAUUGGUUUGCGUGGUGGAAAAUGUGUGUCACAAAGAAGAAAGGUGGAUUGGGCUUUAGAGACCUUCACAACUUUAAUCUUGCUAUGUUAGCAAAGCAGUGUUGGCGACUUCUUCAAAAUCCGGACUCUUUGUGUGCACGAGUUUUGAGUGCAAAAUACUACCCUAACGGGGACAUCCUAAAAGCGGGACCGAAGAAAGGGUCUUCAUUUACAUGGCAAAGCAUUUUAGCUGGGGUUCAGACUUUCAAAAGGGGCUGCAUAUGGCGAAUUGGUUCUGGCUCACACAUCAAUAUUUGGGAAGAUCCAUGGAUUCCAUCUAGUGAGUCGAGAAAAGUUAUUACCCCUAGAGGAGGAAUUAUGUUAACAAAGGUGGCAGAGAUUAUUGAUCCCCAUACUGGACAGUGGGAUGAGGCAUUGUUGCGUAGUGUGUUUUCACCGGUUGAUCUAGAUAGAAUAUUACAGAUUCCCCUACAUGUUGAGGCAGUUGAAGAUUUUUUAGCCUGGCACUUUACGAGGUCCGGAACCUUCUCUGUCCGCUCGGCAUAUCAGGUGGAGUUUGAUCAUCAGUUUGGACGUCAUUACUCAAACUCGAAUAACCCAGGUACUGCUAACCUUAAUAUGGUUUGGAAAGAUCUGUGGCAACUGCGGCUCCCGGGGAAAAUAAAACAUUUUGGUUGGAAAGUCCUAAAGGGGGUCUUGCCGUGCCUCGGUGUUCUGGCAGGUAGGCAUAUACCCUUGGUUCCGCAAUGUCCGCUUUGCAAGAUCGGAUUAGAGGACGUACAACACUGCCUUUUUACAUGCGCACGGGCAUCUGAUGUUUGGUCUGAGUUAGGAUUGCAGAAUGAUAUUAUAAAAGCCAUGCGGCAAGAUCGAUCUGGUUCUAUAACUUUGGAAAUUCUGGUCCGCAUGCGUACCAUGAUUCAUGAGCUGCCAAUGGCUGAACUCAUCUUGGUUGCGAUGUGGUUUAUCUGGUGGCAGAGGCGCCAAGUAACUAAUGGGGAAUCAGUCCAGACACGGGAACAAACAUCAAUAUCUAUCCGAGUUUUAGCCACCAACUUCGUACGAGCCUACACACCAAAUCAGCCGGUACGUACGAUCAGUCAUCAGUGGAAGAAGCCAUUGGAGGGAGCGGUAAAAGUUAAUGUCAAUGCGUCAUUCCAUGCGGACAAUUUUUCAGGAGCCUGCGGCGCUAUUGCUCGUGAUGAUCGAGGCAAUUUCUUGGCUGCAACUACUUGUGCAAUACCGCAUGUGUCUAGUGCAACCUCUGCGGAAUUGUUAGCUAUCAGGUGUGGUCUGAUCCUUGCAGUGAAUCUUGGAUGCACUAAGCUUAUUUUGGAGUCUGACUGUACGAUUGCUUUGGAGGCUAUAUCUGACCCAAACGCAUACAUGGGAACUGAUGUUCCAAUAGUAGUAGAAUGCUCUCUUAUGGCAGUGAAAUUUAAAAGCAUCAGUUUUACUCAUUGUAGCAGAGAAGCGAAUAUGGUAGCGGAUGGCUUAGCAAAGCAUAGCUUUAGUCAUAGCAAGUCUGAAACUUGGGACGUUGUCCCGGACUUUAUUCUGCAUUCUUAUGUAAAUGAUCUUGCUCUUAUUUGAUGAAUAAAGUUUUAAUGCUCAAAAAAAAAGAUCUAAGGCCUAUGAUUUAUUAGUACAGAGAAGUUCUAUUAAAUCAACCAUCGGAUACUUCUGAUUUUUAUAGAAUUUUUGAUCAUAUUUCUCUUUGUUGGUUAACCUGCUAUUUACUUUUAAUAUAUAGUAGAUACUAUAUAUGCAGUACGUGACCAUGUAUGAGUUUGUGAGGGAUUCUCUAUAUACACAUAUGUGCGUUUGUUUUUUCCUUAUGGAAUAGAUGUGCAUGCACAUGCUUUCCAAUUAACAUGGUAGGCUUGCCAAAAAAAAUUUAACGUGAUUCCUCACGCAACAUCUUUUUUUAUAGAAGAGCUCUGACAACCGAAUAAUCCAGGCUUUUUUUCUAGAUUGGAAAAUAUCUACGUGGGACAUGUGCCACGUAAAUCCUUAGAGGCCCAUCAUAUUAUAUAUGUUACGUAAAUUGAACGGUCACGUAAUCUUAAUUUUAAGAGAUUUACCGGAUCGAGGGUUGAUAUUUUCUAAUUAAUGUGGAAUUUUCUAACCUAUUUCUCUCCCUUCUGGUUCACCGUAUAUUACUUUUAGUAUAUAAACAAGAUGAUUUUUGGAACAUGGACUUUUUCCAAAUUUAUGAAUAAAAUUUGAAAACUAGAGCAAUUUUUGACUAUAUCAAGGUUUUUUUAAACACAAACUUUUUUUGAAAUUUUAAAACACGAUUAUUAUUUUAAUGCAACCUUUCUUAGAUUUCAAAACACGUUUUUAAUGAAUAUUUUCUUAAACCCAACCAAAAGUUGAAAACUUGAACAUUUUCAAAAACACUCGGAAGUGUGGACAUUUUCUAAAAAACGUGAAAGGAUUUAGGAAAACUUCAAACUUUUUCAAAGCACGAAUAAUUUUUGGGAAAAAUGAAACAAAAUAAAAUUCCGAACAGUUUUUGAACAUUUUUUUAGAAAUGUUGAAUUUAUGAAAAAAAGGAUAAAUUAUGAAAGAAAGGAAAAUCGGUGAAGAAGAAAACAACAGAAGGAAAAAAACUAAAAAAUAGUGUAAGAAAAAAAAACUAAUCCUAGCUACUUGGGAUGGUACAUAUGCGGUUUGCUCACUGCACAUUUCCUAAAAUUUUUUAGGGGUAAAAGCAAGUUUUAAUCAUCAAACACCAUAGAGUGUGGGAUAGAUUUGGGGUCGUGGCAUUGGUUAAACCCAAUGCGGCGUCCCAAACCUAACGAAAGAGAAAGACUGGCUAGACUAUGUGCUUCGACAUUGAUAGCAUGACCUUUACAAGAAAAAUUACUAUCAAAUAAAGAUGGUUGCAACUUAAUCUGGUUGAUAAUGGCUCGUUUCCCACAUAGUUUGCUCACAGUUUUUGAGAGAAAAUUUAGCCUUGAUGGGCUGGGAAAUCGGGCCAACCAAUCUCAAGUGCGACCGAUUCAUCUUUGUCCACUAGAAAGCCUGCCACGUUGCCCAAGAGCCAACCCUUAUCUUUUUUUUACAGGACCCGUAUAUGUUUUAUUGCUCCAGCAAGACCGGUCGCCGCCAAGCCUCUCUCGCCCGCUCAACAGCUCCCCCCGCCGCCGGGGCUAAGCCCUGGAUCCCCCCACCCCCAGGUUGCGAGCUUGUCCCAUCCCUCCCUCUCUUCUGCGUACCCUCGCCCCACCUCGUCUUCUCCCCCACCGGUGCUUUGCCUAGUUUCUUGGAAAAAACUCUCGAUAAAAUAUUGGAACUCUGGCAAAAUGUGCUUUCCUGAUUGCUACACUCGGCAAAAGGGGGUAUGCAUUGCACUGUUUUGGUUGUCCAUAUUGCAUACGACCUCGGAUGAAGAUGAUCCCAAAAUCAAAGUUUAUCAUUUUGACAAGAUGAUUAAUUUUCAUGUUCAGAACUUUUCCAUUUUAAGCCAUGUUAUUUACACUUUUGACAAUGCCAAAAUAUGGUCUCAAAUGAAUAUGGCGGUGGUCAUAUUUAUUGCAUAGUUUCUGACAAUGGGCCUAAAGUUGGCAUUUUGUUGCAUCUCGCCAUUACAAACAAUGAUGCCAAAUAGAGUUUCCAACAUUUUGUACAAAACUAAUUUUCCCAUUUUCUAAGUGUAAAAAAAUGGAUAUUUUGUGAAGCGGGUAAAAAAACAUAGUGCAAAAUGGCACCACCCCAAUUUACAUAAAAAGUAGACCACAUGUUUUAGAAAAUUCCCAGGUUUUGUGGAUCUUCUUAAUUUCUAGCUACUUUCGCACAGUUAAAUUCAAAUUUGAACUUUAAGUCUGUGAUAGCUUUGUCCUAAAAAUUAGCAAAAAUGUAAUCUAUUUUUUUAGGUGUGCAAGUAGUCAUUUUAUGAAAUCACCACUUAAGUUUGAGAGAUUCAGGCCCUUGCCAUGACUAUCCAUGCCGGGCAUUUUGACCCCGUUUUGGAAAAAUGAAACAAAAAGGAUACAAGUUCAAAAAAAUGCAAUCCAUUCGUAUGGACUCCUUUUAUGUGUACUAGCUAGGACGAAAAUACCAAACUUCAAUAUGAAAACUUUGAAAGAAAAAUAUCCAUCACAAAACGGGCUAUCAUGUAUGAACCUUCACGGCUUUCAAGUCAAACGACCAAGGUGACGACAAUAUCCAUUCCAUAGUUUAUUAUAUUAUGCCGAAAUUAGACAUAUAGGUGAAUCAUGCCAUUGCAAAUAAUGUUGUAAAAUAGAGUUUCCAACUUUUUGUACAAAAAAUCAUUUACUAUUUUCUAAGUAUCAAAAAUGGGUGUUUCUUGUGAAGUGGGUUCAAAAAAUAGAGUGGAAAAUGGCACCACUCCAAUUUUCACAAAAAGUAGACCAUAUUAGAUGGACAAUUCCCAAGUUUUGUAGAUGUCUAGCUAAAAACUAACAAUUGGUGUAUUUUUUUAAUAUUUAAUGAAAAUAAAAAAAUGGGAAGGGCGGAUACUUAAUGGAUAACAUGGACAUCUGAGGGUGUACCUUUAAGUGUUGGAGAUGCCUUUAUGUGCUGGUUUAUGUCGUGCUCAACCUGCAAUGUACUAGAGUUAAUCAUGUUGGGUAACGGUGCAUGGAAAAACAAAAAAAUAUCUACGCACACGUAAUGAUCUAUCCAUGGAGAUGCAUAGCAACGAGGGGGAGAGUGUGUCUACGUACCCCCAUAGACCAAAAGCGGAAGCGUUUGACAAUGCGGUUGAUGUAGUCAAACUUCUUCUAGCUCCGACCGAUCAAGCACCGAACGUACGGCACCUCCGAGUUCUGCACAUGUUUAGCUCGGUGAUGUCUCUCGUCUUCUUGAUGAGUUCCGUCAGCACGACAGCGUGGUGACGAUGAUGGUGAAGUGAUCCAUGUAGGGCUUCGCUUAAGCACCGCGAGAAUAUGACCGGGGGUGUAAACUGUGGAGGGGGGCGCCGCACACGGCUAACAAUUGAUGUUGUGUGUUCUAGGCGCCCCCUUCCCCACAUAUAUAUAGGUGGGAGGGGAGGGGAGGCAGCAAGGGGGCACCCCAAGUAGGAUCUGAAUCCUACUUGGGGUUUCCCCAAGUGACGCCCCCCCCCUUCCUUUUUUCCACCGGAGAAGAAAGGAAGGGGGAAGAAGAGAAGCAAGGGGGGCUGAACCCCCUCUUCUCCUUCUCCUAUUUGGCCACUUGCCAUAGGGGAGGCGCGCCACCCCUUGUGNNNNNNNNNNNNNNNNNNNNNNNNNNNNNNNNNNNNNNNNNNNNNNNNNNNNNNNNNNNNNNNNNNNNNNNNNNNNNNNNNNNNNNNNNNNNNNNNNNNNNNNNNNNNNNNNNNNNNNNNNNNNNNNNNNNNNNNNNNNNNNNNNNNNNNNNNNNNNNNNNNNNNNNNNNNNNNNNNNNNNNNNNNNNNNNNNNNNNNNNNNNNNNNNNNNNNNNNNNNNNNNNNNNNNNNNNNNNNNNNNNNNNNNNNNNNNNNNNNNNNNNNNNNNNNNNNNNNNNNNNNNNNNNNNNNNNNNNNNNNAUUCGAGAACACUUCCGGUGUCCGAAUACUAUCAUCCUAUAUAUCAAUCUUUACCUCUCGACCAUUUCGAGAUUCCUCGGCAUGUCCAUGAUCUUAUCCGGGACUCGAAACAACAUUCGGUCACCAUAUCACAUAACUCAUAUAAUACAAUAUCAUUAUCGAACGUUAAGCGUGCGGACCCUACGGGUUCGAGAACUAUGUAGACAUGACCGAGACACCUCUCCGGUCAAUAACCAAUAGCGGAACCUGGAUGCUCAUAUUGGAUCCUACAUAUUCUACGAAUAUCUUUAUCGGUCGAACCGUUAUGACAACAUACAUUAUUCCCUUUGUCUAUCGGUAUGUUACUUACCCGAGAUUCGAUCAUCGGUAUCUGCAUACCUAGUUCAAUAUCAUUAUUUGUAAGUCUCUUUACUCGUUUGUAAUACAUCACCUUACUAACGGAUGGGUCUUGUCCAUCACAUCAUUCUUCUAAUGAUGUGAUCCCGUUAUCAAAUGACACCUCAUGUCCAUGGUUAGGAAACCUUAACUAUCUUUGAUCAACGAGCUAGUCAAGUAGAGGCUCACUAGGGACAUAGUGUUUGUCUAUGUAUUCACACACGUAUUAAGGUUUCCGAUCAAUACAAUUCUAGCAUGAAUAAUAAACAUUUAUCAUGAAUAAGGAAAUAUAAAAUAAGAACUUUAUUAUAUCCUCUAGGGCAUAUUUCCUUCAAAUCAGUAUAUGUGUGCAUGCUUGGUUGUUAGUGAAAUGUUUUAUGUAUAUGUGUACAUGCUUGGUUGGGCCAACUUUGUGUAUUACAUUUUGUGAAAUACAAACUUGAUAUACGCCACAUUUGUGUUAACGACCAAUAAGUAUAUACAUAACUAUAUUUUGCCUUCUUUUUCCUCCUCCACAAGAAAAGGUCCCGCGCUUUUCUCCUCCUCCAAUUGGCGCCAUAGCUGGUCCGCCCCAUCUUUGAUGGCCUUUGGGCCCUUUAGUACCGUACCGAACCAGCAGCCUUCGCGCCAAGCGACGACCGCCCUUGUCCCUUUCCUUUUUCCAUUCAGCCUACUUCUUAGCUUUGUUCCGUUAGUCUAAGGCAAAGCUUAAGUGGUUUACCUACCUUACCCACUUGAUGAAAGGGAACGGACUUCAUUUCCUUGGCGGCUUUAUGGAUGGAUUCAGUAAGAAAAAUUCCUUCCUUUUGAAAAAAGUGACACCACGAAGGUGAGUAGGACCUCAGGCCCUCGCUGGCGGGAGGGAACCCGUUCUCAUUCUUUUUUGGUUCAAUGUCUUGCUGGAGCUGUGUUGCGGCUAUGAUGUCUCUCAGUAGGAAUAAUGUUUCACAUGUUCUAUCCCUGUCUCGAUGGUGCCUCUAGCAUUAUCAUAGGGCAUGUGGAGGUGUGUCUCUAUCGGAUUUCGCAGGAUUCGGUCGGCAUUGGUCUUCGGUGGAUCUGUUUGGACACGGUCUAUGUUCAUCUUUGUGGUGUUUAUACUAUUGAUCCUUCCGAUCUAUGACUUUCUUCAUCGACGAUGGUUGCUGCUUCGGUGCGCUGGUCCUAUGGGUCCUUAGCACGACAACUUCCUGACUAUUGACUACAACAAGGUUUGCCCGGCUCCAGCGAUCGGGGGGGGGGGGUGAUGGCGAUGCACAGCUUUCUUUAGUGCUUGUAGUCAUCGCUAGGUGGUCCAUGGACCUGGUUGUAAUUUUUUGUAUCUCUGGUGUUCUUUGUACUGCCAUGAUUGAAGAUGAAUAGAUUGGAAGUUUCUCACGCAAAAAUAACUAUAUAAAUAACUAUUUUAGCAAAAUUCGCAAAAAAACUAUUUUAGCAAGUAAUAAAUUUUGACACCAAUUAUAUGGUAGUAAUUAAUAUUUCCCCUAAUAAUAUCCGCAUUGGGUCCAGGUUUUAUACUAUGUAUACAGACGGGAGUAUGUUUGGAUAAUUGUGUGAACACAAGGAUAUAUCUUAGCAAAACUAUUUUUAGCAACAAGUAAAUGAAUUAAUAUAUGCUAGCUAUACUCUGCUGGUGAAAACAUGGUUUAUUAGUUGUACAAAGCAUGCAACACGGUUUCACUCCCCUUUAUAUUCAUGGGCGGAACACAAUUUCAGAUCCAAGUUUUAUGUUUGUCUACACACUCCCAUCUUCUUCCCAUAUCAGCAGGAAAAUUCACUCCAAUCAUCUCGCCAUUCUACACUUGGGAAAUCAGGUUUGCUUCAAUCUACCAUCCUUGAAUAUAUGCCCCACAUCUUGUUUCUGCGUCCUAAUCUUAUUAAGCUUGUAAUUAGUAGUUAGUGCAAGAUCAAAAAGGAGCUAUGGGCAAAACACCAUCCGCACCUGCUGAUUUAAUCACCAUAGGACAAGCGGCGCCUAAUCAUGAAAUAGCAGGAGAUUCAAGUGACAGUGAGAGAACAAUCAGUGAGGGUUAUGUGGGGAUCAUGUAUGGUGGUAGCCAAACCCACGAUAGCAACCUGGAAGGAGAAUCUGACAUGGUAUUGCUAGCAACAGAUUCAAGUGACAGCGAGAGAACAAUCAGUGAGGGUUAUGUCGGGAUCCUGUAUGGUGGUAGCCAAAUCCAGGAUGGAGACCUGGAGGGAGAAUCGGCUAUGGUAUUGCCUGCUGUAGGAGAGAAUACCACGGCGAGAUCUAACAGUCAUGGUCAUACGCGUAGCUUGGAAAUUGAUUCUACCUCUUGUACUGGGAGGCAUGCUGCCAGGUCAGAUUUUGUUCUAGUGGCACAACGCCGAGACUGCAUACAAAUUUACCCUGAGUGGCUGGAGAAAAUUGAUUCAGGCAAAAAGAUGUGGAUAGCUCUCAAAAAAUUUCGAGCAAAUGGGAAGCAUGAAGAGGUUAGUAUAUACACAUGUUCUGGUGUGCUCUCUCAUCAAAUAAUUUUCAUUGUGGGUUAAUCAUCUCAUAACAUAAGGAGUGUUUGCUUGAUGGGCAUUCAGACCAAAUGAUGAACGAAUUAGAUCCUAGGUUCUCCAAAAGAUGACAUUGUGUUUUGCUUCCGUUACCUCAUAGAUUUUCAGCCUUUGCGUCAAAAUGAUUUUAUGCAUUUGUUUUCGCACUAACUUGUAUUUUUUUAAGCACAACCAUCCAUAUAUGUAAAAAAAACUCAUGGCCACUUGUGCGAUUGAUAGAAAUCAGUUAACAUCUCAAUUUCCUCAUGUGCUAUUGUAUGACUAUGGAGGUUUUUCUAACAUGAUCCUUCUUACCUCCCCUUUUCACAUGAGACGUAAGAGUAUAAAGUAAAUCUGAGUCAUUGACUGCAUUAAGUAGUGGGCUUGACUAAAUCUUACCUUCUUAACUCCCAUGUGAAAAGAUGGGGUAAGAGGAAGCAUGUUAAAAUGGCUCAUGAACGGUGCUGCCGCCAGUGGCAGAGCUUGAGCAUAAUCCAAGAGGGCCAUUACUUGAAGGGGGGGAAAUUAGAAGGGAAGGAGGGGAAAAUAUCUAGUUUAAACACUAGUUAGGCUUAAAAUAUAGUAUAUUCAUUGAUGGGUGCAAAAAUUAAGGGGGGCCAUGGCCCCUGUUGGUCUACAUGAAGCUCCGCCACUUGCUGCCGCACAUUCUACAGUAUUGUUAUAGACACUGACUGACUCUUAUUUUUGCACUAUAUCCAAAUGUACUAGCAGUCAUAAGACACCAAUCUGUCAGGAUCUCGGCUUUUGGCCUUCUGCUAGGAUGCACUAAAGAUAUUGAUAAGUCUCGCCAUUCCUGGAUGUUGUGAAGGUUACCUGACUGGAACAGAUUGUUCUGGAGAAGGAUAUGGAGGCGCGGCAAACCUAAAGCAACGAUGAUGCAACAAAUGGAAUGUGAUCGAGAAUGGUAUUAUCUACAUGUGCACACCAGAGAGCAUACAAAUUAGGGUCUGCAUGGACGACCAAAACACAUGGCAUUUUUUAUCAACUAGACCAUCCUUUUUUCUUUGAUCUACUAACAUUGGUUGCCAUUUCGGGCUUUUGGGCCGACCUUCGGGCGAGAAAUUGAAGCCCAAGCCUACCCCAGAUGUCGGGCUUUGGGCUCAGGCCUCUGGGCCGGGUAGUCCAUGAACAGGUUUAGUUUGAUCUAUUCACUCACAUUUUGAUCCUCAUUCAUUAUAGCAUUUAACCAUAAUUCAUAUGAACAUGCACCACGAGAAUAUAAUAAAGGAAAUGCAUGGGCUAAUUUGUAGUACACAACGCCUUAUUGUGCGGUAUCACAAGAACAUUUUUCUCCUUGAUUACAAUAGUAACUACUAUGCAAUCUUAUAUAUCAAAUCAUAUAUUAUAUGACAAAUUAAGUAUAUUGUUUUGCUUAUUUCAGUAUUACCUUCAUAAGGAAUAUAGUCACAAGUUUUGCUCCAAACGCAACGUUAUUGAGUUCAUACGAAAUGGAACUGUGAAAGGGAAGUCGGUUCAGAAGGUGCCUAAAUACUUGACUUUCAAACAUAUAGUAAUUAUGCGAAGAUGUAUAUGUUUUUUGUAUUAACUUUAAAGUAUUAAUUUGACACGGUAUCCUAUUUUUGCACAGAGAUCAUCUGAUACUUCUAUGAACAAUCUUCAGGGUAUGUCCAGUUGGCCCCAUGCAUUUGGAUAUUAUUUUGUAUACUAUUAUUACUAUACAGAGAUAUCUAACUGAAACUGAAAUAUAAUAAAUAUUCAUGGAGAGAAAAAUAGACAUUAAUGUCCACAUACACAACAAAAUUAACCAGUACUGUCCUAGUUUACAUGAAUUAAUAUUUUCAAUGACAAUUAGGUUACUCAUGACAUGAUAAAGAAAAAAAAUGUGAGGUAAGAUAAGGUUUUCUAUAAUUUUUCAUGGGGACCUCCUCAUGGUUGCAGAUACAUAGUUUUACAGUGCUUCAUGAAAUAGUUGCAUAUCAUCAUGUCUAAAAGAAUCAUGACGGACACAACUUCAAGAAAUUCUUCUUGUAAAAUAACAUGAUUUGUAUAUACCUCAUAAAGGAUGUAACUUGUUGGUAGCAUUUAAUAUUGUGACACACUCGCCAUCUUUUGUGCCAGCAUUAUUUGGGUGAUGAUUUAAUAUCCAAAAGCAUACAUCAAGGUAGUUAUGUGCAAUGAUAUUCUUGUGAAAAUAACUUCCAUAGUGUAUACUUGCAUAUAUGUAUUGCUCUAUUGUAUUCUCACAGUUAAUCCUUUUUCUUAAUUUUUUGUUUGUUUAUUUAUGUUUAGAGCAAGAUUAUAAAUUAAGCUGAGCAUAAUUUCUGCAGAUUAUAGAUGGCCCACUGAAAGACAAAGGGCGAAGGCGCAAACUUCAAAUAAUUCUUCUUGCCACAUAGGUUUUUCUAAUUGUGCGAGCAUACCACUUGUAACUGCCUUCAGUCAUCUAUGUCAGUAGUAUUUUGAGAAGAAUUUCAUUACAAAAUGCAAUGACUCAAACAAUCAGAUUGUUCAUGAUGAUUCCUAAUUGUAUAACCAAUAAGCUUAACGCACCUUCCUAUUUUAGAGUUGUUAUGUUAAUAAGUAUAUACUAUCUGUUAUUAAUGUUGUUAAUGGGUGAAGAACAUUUGUUGCUCAUGGUUAGAAUGUAGAAUUUUCUUAAUACAACAACCUAGAGCGAAUGUGGAGGCCAAUAUAGAUUGAAACCAUUAAUUCAUAUUAAAAUGGUCAUGACUUCUUAUUUUUAUUUGACAUAAAUGUUUGUGACUUGUUUGAAUUAAUGUGUUCUGCAAUUAUAUGAUACUUGCGUAUUCAUACUAUUUUUAUGAAUUGUGCAGCUAGUUUGUCGACAGGAGCACGAACAACCACAACUUCUACAAAGCUUCCACAUGGUUUCAUCUAGUAUCAUGCAAAAGACAUUGAGACAAUCAAGAUUACUUGAGCAACCUGAAUUAUGUUAGUUGUUACCUGCUUUCAAACGAAUGUGUCCUCUCAUAGUAUGCAUGUACUUCUGUUGUUGAGGAAUUUAUAUCAUUAGACAGUUCUGUUUUUCAUAAUUAUUGAUUAAUGGGUACAUACCUUCAAUCCUGGAAGAUUAUCAGAUAGCCAGUCAAGGAAGCAAUUUAUUUAUUGAAUUGUGCAUAAUAGGAACAUUUUUACAUUCAAAGGAACAUCAUAGGAAUAAUUUGGUAUUUCGAGAAGAUUUUCCAGUCCCCUGCCCCAACCUACUGGAGACAGUAUGAGUGGUGACAGACACAUUUGUAACAUACGAGCAAGCUAGUGCAGCAGCUUCAGUCACAUGCUCUGGAAGCCCAUUUUGGGUCUUCCUUCAGAAGGCUCAACAAGGCCAUCAUCACACCAUUCUAGUUAGUUACUUCUGCAACGAUAUAUGUCCUUAAGAAAAUAAGAAGCUAGGGUUCUAGUAGACUUAUAAUGCUCUAGCAGCACCACGUUGGAUAUGCUCGCACAAAUAAAAUAACAUGAAUCGAGUCUAUAUGUAAGCACAUAUCUUGUCACCAGUCAACUACUAGUACAGUAAGAGCAUCAAAGAGGAAUUCAUUUCAUAUAGAAUAGUCGCAAUCAUAUACUUCUGUUCUGCACAUACUGCUCAUUAUCAUGGACAAUGAUGUAGCUAGAUAAAAGGGAGCAUGUGGCAAUAAUGUAAGCAGGGAGGCUCCAGGGAAGAGCUCAACAGACAGAACUAACCUGCUCUUGCAAGGAACCAGUAAGCCUUGCUACAUUGUCACCUUCAUGCUGCAUGGCAUCGUGUCCACCAGCUAUUGUGGUAUGUCGCAAAUCUUUCCUCUCAUCUUUUCACCGAAAGCGAUCGUUGGCGAAUUCUAAUCUUUCUGGAACAACAUUCCUAAUUCCCUGCACUAGAAGGUCAUCAUGAUGCAUCGGUACAUCGGAAUUCCGGCCACAUUAACAAAAUCUUUGCCCAAACCAAAUUAAGGUAGAAAUGAGAAAUGAAGGAGAGCACCAAAUAGUAAGUUAGGUUACACACAUAUAUAUAGAAAUGCCGUUCAUAGUAAAAACAACAGGAAGUGUAUCCAUGUUGUUUGCUUAGGUGGCUGAAACCAAGGUCCUAUUCACUGGGAUGAUAAACCUACUAAAUAAAAGGGUUCUCAAAGUCCCCUCAGAACUAGAGUCGAGUAACACAGUCAUGAUCCCAUGGGGUUUCAGGAUAACGACAUGCAAAUGUGGUUAACACAAUCAGCUCUCUCAUUAAGAUUUGUCUUAUUUUUUAUCACUACAGGAAAAUUCAUGUUUGCCGAGUGUCAGUGUCUUUGCUGAGUGCAUUUUGUUGGGCACUCAGCAAACAUAUCUUUGCCGAGUGUAAUCCUGAAACACGGUAAACAGGUGCUUUGCCGACUGUCGUGGAAAAAACACUGGCAAAAAAGUUAUAGUUGCUAAAAUGUGCUUUGUUGAGUGUCUUGGAAAUAACUCUCAGCAAAAUAGUGGAACUCAGGCAAAGAUGUGCUUUCUCGAGUGCUACACUCGGCAAAAGGGGGUAUGCACUGCGCUCACUGUUUUGGCCGUCGAGAUUGCAUACAACCUCGGAUGAAGAUGAUCCAAAAAUCAAAGUUUUACAUUUCGACGUGAUGAAUAAUUUUCAUGUUGAGGACCUUUUCCUUUUAGACCAUAUUAUUUACACUUAUUGCCAUGCCAAAGUAUGGUCUCAAAUGAAUAAGGCGGUGGUCAUAUUUAUUGCAAUUUACGACUAUGGGCCUAACCUUGGCAUUUAUGUGCAUCUGGCCAUUACAAACAAUGUUGCCAAAUAGAGUUUCCAACAUUUCGUACAAAGAUAAUUUUUCUAUUUUUGAAGUGUAAAAAAUUGAUACUUUUGUGAAGCUGGUACAAAAAUCGAGUGCAAAAUGGCAUCACUCCAAUUUUCACAAAAAUAGACCAUAUUUUUUGGAAAAUUCCCAUUUUUUGUGGAUUUUCUAGAUUUCUAGCUACUUUCACACAUUUAAAUGACUUUAUUAUGAUUCCGCAAAAUUAAUUCAAUUUGAACUGUAAUUGUGUGAUAGCUCUAUCCUACAAAUUUGCAAAAAUAUACUUUUAGGUACACAAGUAGUCAUUACAUGGAAACCCCACUUAGAGUUUGAGAGAUUCAACCCCUUGACAUGAAUAGACAUGCCGGCCACUUUCACCCCGUUUUGGAAAAAAUGAAACAAGAAGGAUACAAGUUCAAAAAAUGCAAUCCUUUCAUAUGGACUCCUUUUAUGUGUACUAGUGUAGAUGAAAAUACCAAACUUUCAAUAUGACAGUUUUGAAAGAAAAAUAUCCUGCACAAAUGGGCUAUCCUCUAUGAACAUUCAUGGCUUUCAAGUCAAAUGACCAAGGUGAUGACCAUAUUCAUUGCAUAGUUUAUUAUAAUGUGCCCAAAUUAGACAUAUAGGUGAACCUUGCCAUUACAAAUAAUGUUGCAAAAUAGGGUUGAAGGAAAUAUGCCCUAGAGGCAAUAAUAAAGUUAUUAUUUAUUUCCUUAUUUCAUGAUAAAUGUUUAUUAUUCAUGCUAGAAUUGUAUUAACCGGCAACAUAAUACAUGUGUGAAUACAUAGACAAACAUAGUGUCACUAGUAUGCCUCUACUUGACUAGCUCGUGAAUCAAAUAUGGUUAAGUUUCCUAGCCAUGGACAAAAGAGUUGUCAUUUGAUUAACGGGAUCACAUCAUUAGGAGAAUGAUGUGAUUGACUUGACCCAUUCCGUUAGCUUAGCACUUGAUCGUUUAGUAUGUUGCUAUUGCUUUCUUCAUGACUUAUACAAAGUUCCUACAACUAUGAGAUUGUGCAACUCCCGCUUACCGGAGGAACACUUUGUGUGCUACCAAACGUCACAACGUAACUGGGUGAUUAUAAAGGUGCUCUACAGGUGUCUCCAAAGGUACAUGUUGAGUUGGCAUAAUUCGAGAUUAGGUUUUGUCACUCCGAUUGUCGGAGAGGUAUCUCUGGGCCCUCUCGGUAAUACACAUUACUUAAGCCUUGCAAGCAUUGCAACUAAUGAGUUAGUUGUGGGAUGAUGUAUUACGGAACGAGUAAAGAGACUUGCCGGCAACGAGAUUGAACUAGGUAAUCGAUACCGACGAUCGAAUCUCGGGCAAGUAACAUACCGAUGACAAAGGGAACAACGUAUGUUGUUAUGCGGUUUGACCGAUAAAGAUCUUCGUAGAAUAUGUAGGAACCAAUAUGAACAUCCAGGUUCCGCUAUUGGUUAUUGACCGAGAAUAGUUCUAUGUCAUGUCUACAUAGUUCUCGAACCCGUAGGGUCCGCACGCUUAACGUUACAAUGACAGUUUUAUUAUGAGUUUAUAAGUUUUGAUGUACCGAAGGUUGUUCGGAGUACCAGAGGAGUCUCGAAAUGGUCGAGACACAAAGAUUGAUAUAUUGUACGGAUAUAUUUGGACACCGGAAAGGUUCCGGAUGAGAUUGGGACUAUACCGGAGUUUCGGGAGGUUACCGGAACCCCCCGGUAAGUAUAUGGGCCUUAUUGGGCCUUAGUGGAAGGGAGGGAGAAGGAUCAAAGGAGGGGGUGCCCCCCCCCAAGCCCAAUCCGAAUUGGGAGGGGGGCCGGCCCCCCCUUUCCUUCUUCCCUCCCCUCUCUUCCUUCCCUCUCCUACUCCUAAUAGGAAAGGGGGGCCAAACCUACUUGGAGUAGGUUUGCCCCCCUAGGGCGCGCCUCCCCUCUUGGUCGGCCCCCUCCUCCUCUCCCCCUUUAUAUACGGAGGAGGGGGCACCCCAUAGACACACAAGUUGAUCUACGGAUCAUUCCUUAGCCGUGUGCGGUGCCCCCCUCCACCAUAUUCCACCUCAGUCAUAUCGUCGCAGAGUUUAGGCGAAGCCCUGCGCCGGUAGAACAUCAUCAUCGUCACUACACCGUCGUGCUGACGGAACUCAUCCCCGACGCUUUGCUGGAUUGGAGCCGGGGAACAUCAUCGAGCUGAACGUGUGCUGAACACGGAGGUACCGUACGUUCGGUGCUUGAAUCGGUCGAGUCGUGAAGACGUACGACUACAUCAACCGCGUUCUGAUAACGCUUCUGCUUACGGUCUACGAGGGUACGUGGACAAUACUCUCCUCUCUCGUUGCUAUGCCAUCACCAUGAUCUUGCAUGUGCGUAGGACAUUUUUUGAAAUUACUACGUUACUCAACAGUGGCAUCCGAGCCUAGGUUUUAUGCGUUAAUGUUAUAUGCACGAUUAGAACACAAGUGAGUUGUGGGCGAUACAAGUCAUACUGCUUACCAGCAUGUCAUACUUUGGUUCGGCGGUAUUGUUGGAUGAAGCGGCCCAGACCGACAUUACGCGUACACUUACGCGAGACUGGUUUUACCGCCGUGCUUUGCACACAGGUGACUAGCGGGUGUCAGUUUCUCCAACUUUAGUUGAACCGAGUGUGGCUGCGCCCGGUCCUUGUGAAGGUUAAAACAGCACCAACUUGACAAACUAUCGUUGUGGUUUUGAUGCGUAGGUAAGAACGAUUCUUGCUCAGCCCGUAGCAGCCACGUAAAACUUGCAACAACAAAGUAGAGGACGUCUAACUUGUUUUUGCAGGGCAUGUUGUGAUGUGAUAUGGCCAAGACGUGAUGCUAUAUUUUAUUGUAUGAAGUGAUCAUGUUUUGUAACCGAAGUUAUCGGCAACUGGCAGGAGCCAUAUGGUUGUCGCUUUAUUGUAUGAAAUGCAAACGCCCUGUAAUUGCUUUACUUUAUCACUAAGUGGUAGCGAUAGUCGUAGAAGCAAUAGAUGGCGUAAACGACAAUGAUGCUACGAUGGAGAUCAAGGUGUCGCGCCGGUGACGAUGGUGAUCACGAUGGUGCUUCGGAGAUGGAGAUCACAAGCACAAGAUAAUGAUGGCCAUAUCAUAUCACUUAUAUUGAUUGCAUGUGAUGUUUAUCCUUUAUGCAUCUUAUCUUGCUUUGAUUGACGGUAGCAUUUUAAGAUGAUCACUCACUAAAAAUUAUCAAGAAGUGUUCUCCCUGAGUAUGCACCGUUGCCAAAGUUCGUCGUGCCCAGACACCACGUGAUGAUCGGGUGUGAUAAGCUCUACGUCCAUCUACAAUGGGUGCAAGCCAGUUUUGCACACGCGGAAUACUCAGGUUAAACUUGACGAGCCUAGCAUAUGCAGAUUGGCCUCGGAACACGGAGACCGAAAGGUCGAGCGUGAAUCAUAUAGUAGAUAUGAUCAACAUAAUGAUGUUCACCAUUGAAAGCUACUCCAUUUCACGUGAUAAUCGGUUAUGGUUUAGUUGAUUUGGAUCACGUGAUCACUUAGAGGAUUAGAGGGAUGUCUUUCUAAGUGGGAGUUCUUAAGUAAUAUGAUUAAUUGAACUUAAAUUUAUCAUGAACUUAGUCCUGGUAGUAUUUUGCAAAUUAUGUUGUAGAUCAAUAGCUUGCGUUGUUGCUUUCAUAUGUUUAUUUUGAUAUGUUCCUAGAGAAAAUUGUAUUGAAAGAUGUUAGUAGCAAUGAUGCGGAUUGGAUCCGUUAUCUGAGGUUUAUCCUCAUUGCUGCACAGAAGAAUUAUGUCCUUAAUGCACUGCUAGGUGACAGACCUAUUGCAGGAGCAGAUGCAGACGUUAUGAACGUUUGGCUAGCUCAAUAUGAUGACUACUUGAUAGUUUAGUGCACCAUGCUUAACGGCUUAGAAUCGGGACUUCAAAGACAUUUUGAAUGUCAUGGACCAUAUGAGAUGUUCCAGGAGUUGAAGUUAAUAUUUCAAGCAAAUACCCGAGUUGAGAGAUAUGAAGUCUCCAACAAGUUCUAUAGCUAAAAGAUGGAGGAGAAUCGCUCAACUAGUGAGCAUGUGCUCAGAUUGUCUGGGUACUAGAAUCGCUUGAAUCAAGUGGGAGUUAAUCUUCCAGAUAAGAUAGUGAUUGACAGAAUACUCUAGUCACCAUCACCAAAUUAGUAGAACUUCGUGAUGAACUAUAGUAUGCAAGGGAUGACGAAAACGAUUCCCAAGCUCUUCGUGAUGCUGAAAUCGAUGAAGAUAAAAAUCAAGAAAAGCAUCAAGUGUUGAUGGUUGACAAGACCACUAGUUUCAAGAAAAGGGCAAAGGGAAGAAGUGGAACUUCAAGAAGAACGGCAAGCAAGUUUCUGCUCAAGUGAAGAAGCCCAAGUCUGGUCCUAAGCCUAAGACUAAGUGCUUCUACUGCAAAGGGACUAGUCACUGGAAGUGGAACUGCCCCAAGUAUUUGGCGGAUAAGAAGGAUGGCAAAAGUGAACAAAGGUAUAUUGGAUAUACAUGUUAUUGAUGUGUACUUUACUAGUGUUUAUAGCAACCCCUCGGCAUUUUGAUAUUGGUUCAGUUGCUAAGAGUAGUAACUCGAAACAGGAGUUGCAGAAUAAACAGUAAAUAGUAAAAAGGCGAGGUGACGAUGUGUGUUGGAAGUAGUUCCAAGAUUGAUAUGAUCAUCAUCGCACACUCCCUAUACUUUCGGGAUUAGUGUUGAAACUAAAUAAGUGUUAUUUGGUGUUUGCGUUGAGCAUGAAUAUGAUUUGAUCAUGUUUAUUGCAAUACGGUUAUUCAUUUAAGUAAGAGAAUAAAUUGUUGUUCUGUUUACAUGAAUAAAACCUUAUAUGGUUACCCACCCAAUGAAAAUGGUUCGUUGGAUCUCGAUCAUAGUGACACACAUAUUCAUAAUAUUGAAACCAAAAGAUGCAAAGUUAAUAAUGAUAGUGCAACUUAUUUGUGGCACUGCAGUUUAGGUCAUAUUGGUGUAAAGCGCAUGAAGAAACUCCAUGCUGAUGGGAUUUUGGAAUCACUUGAUUAUGAAUCACUUGAUGCUUGCGAACCAUGCCUUAUGGGCAAGAUGACUAAAGACUCCGUUCUCCGGAACAAUAGAGCGAGCAACUGACUUAUUGGAAAUAAUACAUACGGAUGUAUGCAAUCCGAUGAGUGUUGAGGCUCGCGGCAAGUAUCAUUAUUUUCUGACCUUCACAGAUGAUUUGAGCAGAUAUGGGUAUAUCUACUUAAUGAAACAUAAGUCUGAAACGUUUGAAAAGUUCAAAGAAUUUCAGAGUGAAGUUGAAAAUUAUCGUAACAAGAAAAUAAAAUUUCUACGAUCUGAUAGUGGAGGAGAAUGUUUGAGUUACGAGUUUGGUCUACAUUUGAAACAAUGCGGAAUAGUUUCGCAACUCACGCCACCCGGAACACCACAGCGUAAUGGUGUGUUCGAACGUCAUAACCGUACUUUAUUGGAUAUUGUACAAUCUAUGAUGUUUCUUACCGAUUUACCACUAUCCUUUUUGGGGUCAUGCAUUAAAGAUAGCUGGAUUCACGUUAAAAAAGGGGCACCACCUAAGUCCAUUGAGACGACACAAUAUGAACUGUGGUUUGGCAAGAAACCAAAGUUGUCGUUUCUUAAAGUUUGGGAUUGCGAUGCUUAUGUGAAAAAGUUUCAUCCUGAUAAACUCAAACCCAAAUCGGAGAAAUGUGUCUUCAUAGGAUACCCAAAGGAGAAAGUUGGGUACACCUUCUAUCACAAAUCCGAAGGCAAGACAUUCGUUGCUAAGAAUGGAUCCUUUCUAGAGAAAGAGUUUCUCUCCAAAGAAGUGAGUGGGAGGAAAGUAGAACUUGAUAAGGUAAUUGUACCUUCUCCCUUAUUGGAAAGUAGUUCAUCACAGAGAUCUGUUCCUGUGACUACUACACCAAUUAGUGAGGAAGCUAAUGAUGAUGUUCAUGUAACUUCAGAUCAAGUUACUACCGAAUCUCGUAGGUAAACCAGAGUAAGAUCCGCACCAGAGUGGUACGGCAAUCCUGUUCUGGAAGUCAUGCUACUAGAUCAUGAUGAACCUACAAACUAUGAAGAAGCGAUGGUGAGCCCAGAUUCCGCAAAAUGGCUUGAGGCCAUGAGAUCUGAGAUAAGAUCCAUGUAUGAAAACAAAGUAUGGACUUUGAUUGACUUGCCCAAUGAUCGGCGAGACAUUGAGAUUAAAUGGAUCUUCAAGAGGAAGACGGACGCUGAUAGUGUUACUAUCUACAAAGCUAGAAUUGUCGCAAAAGGUUUUCGACAAGUUCAAGGUGUUGACUACGAUGCGAGUUUUUCACUCGUAUCUAUGCUUAAGUCUGUCUGAGUCAUGUUAGCAAUUGCCAAAUUUUACGAAAUCUGGCAAAUGGAUGUCAAAACUGCAUUCCUUAAUGGAUUUUUUAAAGAAGAGUUGUAUAUGAUGCAACCAGAAGGUUUUGUCGAUCCGAAAGGUGCUAACAAAAUGUGCAAGCUCCAGCGAUCCAUCAAUGGACUGGUGCAAGCAUCUCGGAGUUGGAAUAUACGCUUUGAUAAGUUGAUCAAAGCAUAUAGUUUUAAUACAGACUUGCGGUGAAGCCUGUAUUUACAAGAAAGUGAGUGGGAGCACUACAGCAUUUCUGAUAAGUAUAUGUGAAUGACAUAUUGUUGAUCGGAAAUAAUGUAGAAUUUUUCUGGAAAGCAUAAAGGAGUAUUUGAAAGGAGUUUUUCAAAGAAAGACCUUGGUGAAGCUGCUUACACAUUGAGCAUCAAGAUCUAUAGAGAUAGAUCAAGACGCUUGAUAAGAUUUUUCAAUGAGUACAUACCUUGACAAGAUUUUGAAGUAAUUCAAAAUGGAACAGUCAAAGAAAGAGUUCUUGCCUAUGUUGCAAGGUGUGAAGUUGAGUAAGACUCAAAACCCGACCAUGGCAGAAAAUAGAAAAGAAUGAACAGUCAUUCCCUAUGCCUCAGUCAUAGGUUCUAUAAAGUAUGCUAUGCUGUGUACUAGACCUAUUGUAUACCUUCCUCUGAGUUUGCCAAAGGAAUACAAUUUUGAUCUAAAAGUAGAUCACUAGAACAGCGGUCAAGAAUAUCCUUAGUGAGGACUAAGGAAAUGUUUCUCGAUUAUGGAGGUGAUAAAAGAGCCAGUCAUAAAAAGUUACAACGAUGCAAGCUUUUACACCAAUCCAGAUGACUCUAAGUCUCAAUCUGGAUACAUAUUGAAAGUGGGAGCAAUUAGCUAGAGUAGCUCUGUGCAGAGCAUUGUGGACAUAGAAUAUUUGCAAAAUACAUACGGCUCUGAAUGUGACAGACCCGUUGACUAAACUUCUCUCAUGAACAAAACAUGAUCAUACCUUAGUACUCUUUGGGUCUUAAUCACAUAGCCAUGUGAACUAGAUUAUUGACUCUAGUAAACCCUUUGGGCGUUGGUCACAUGACGAUGUGAACUAUGGGUAUUAAUCACAUACAUAUGUGAAUAUUGGUGUCAAAUCACAUGGUGAUGUGAACUAGAUUAUUGACUCUAGUGCAAGUGGGAGACUGAAGGAAAUAUGCCCUAGAGGCAAUAAUAAAGUUAUUAUUUAUUUCCUUAUUUCAUGAUAAAUGUUUAUUAUUCAUGCUAGAAUUGUAUUAACCGGAAACAUAAUACAUGUGUGAAUACAUAGACAAACAUAGUGUCACUAGUAUGCCUCUACUUGACUAGCUCGUGAAUCAAAGAUGGUUAAGUUUCCUAGCCAUGGACAAAAGAGUUGUCAUUUUAUUAACGGGAUCACAUCAUUAGGAGAAUGAUGUGAUUGACUUGACCCAUUCCGUUAGCUUAGCACUUGAUCGUUUAGUAUGUUGCUAUUGCUUUCUUCAUGACUUAUACAAAGUUCCUACAACUAUGAGAUUGUGCAACUUCCGUUUACCGAGGAACACUUUGUGUGCUACCAAACGUCACAACGUAACUGGGUGAUUAUAAAGGUGCUCUACAGGUGUCUCCAAAGGUACAUGUUGAGUUGGCAUAAUUCGAGAUUAGGUUUUGUCACUCCGAUUGUCGGAGAGGUAUCUCUGGGCCCUCUCGGUAAUACACAUCACUUAAGCCUUGCAAGCAUUGCAACUAAAGAGUUAGUUGUGGGAUGAUGUAUUACGGAACGAGUAAAGAGACUUGCCGGCAACGAGAUUGAACUAGGUAUUGGAUACCGACGAUCGAAUCUCGGGCAAGUAACAUACCGAUGACAAAGGGAACAACGUAUGUUGUUAUGCGGUUUGACCGAUAAAGAUCUUCGUAGAAUAUGUAGGAACCAAUAUGAACAUCCAGGUUCCGCUAUUGGUUAUUGACCGAGAAUAAUUUUAGGUCAUGUCUACAUAGUUCUCGAACCCGUAGGGUCCGCACGCUUAACGUUACGAUGACAGUUUUAUUAUGAGUUUAUAAGUUUUGAUGUACCGAAGGUUGUUCGGAGUACCAGAUGUGAUCACGGACAUGACGAGGAGUCUCGAAAUGGUCGAGACAUAAAGAUUGAUAUAUUGGACAGAUAUAUUUGGACACCGGAAAGGUUCCGGAUGAGAUUGGGACUAUACCGGAGUUCCGGGAGGUUACCGGAACCCCCCGGUAAGUAUAUGGGCCUUAUUGGGCCUUAGUGGAAGGGAGGGAGAAGGAGCAAAGGAGGGGGCGCCCCCCCCCCCCAAGCCCAAUCCGAAUUGGGAGGGGGGCUGGCCCCCCCUUUCCUUCUUCCCUCCCCUCUCUUCCUUCCCUCUCCUACUCCUAAUAGGAAAGGGGGGCCAAACCUACUUGGAGUAGGUUUUCCCCCCUAGGGCGCGCCUCCCCUCUUGGCCGCCCCCCUCCUCCUCUCCCCCUUUAUAUACGGAGGAGGGGGGCACGCCAUAGACACACAAGUUGAUCUACGGAUCGUUCCUUAGCCGUGUGCGGUGCCCCCCUCCACCAUAUUCCACCUCGGUCAUAUCGUCGCAGAGUUUAGGCGAAGCCCUGCGCCGGUAGAACAUCAUCAUCGUCACCACGCCGUCGUGCUGACGGAACUCAUCCCCGACGCUUUGCUGGAUUGGAGCCUGGGGAACGUCAUUGAGCUGAACGUGUGCUGAACACGGAGGUGCCGUACGUUCGGUGCUUGGAUCGGUCGAGUCGUGAAGACGUACGACUACAUCAACCGCGUUGUGAUAACGCUUCCGCUUACGGUCUACGAGGGUACGUGGACAAUACUCUCCUCUCUCGUUGCUAUGCCAUCACCAUGAUCUUGCAUGUGCGUAGGAAAUUUUUUGAAAUUACUACGUUACCCAACAAGGGUUUCCAACUUUUUUUGUAAAAAAACCAUUUUCUAUUUUCUAAAUGUAAAAAAGGGUGCUUUGUGUGAAGCAUGUACCAAAAACAGGGUACAAAAUGGCACCACUCCAAUUUUCACAAAAAUUAGACCGUAUUUUAUGGACAAUUCCCAAAAUCUGUAGAUUUAUCUCUAAAAAAUUAACAAUUGGUGUAUUUUUUUAAUAUUUAAUAAAAAUAAUAUAUAUUUUUAAUGGGAAAGGCAGAUAUUAAAAGGAUACCAUGGACAUCUGAGGGUGUACGUUGAAGCGUUGGAGGUGCCUUUACGUGCCAGUUUACGACGUGCUCAACCGGGAAUGUGGUAGUAUUAAUCAGUAUAUACUUUUAAAAAUCAAUAUAUAAUUUGUUUGGAUUAUUUUAGUUUGCAGGGCAAACUUAAAAUGGAUUUAUUUAGCCUAUUUUUGUGAAAUCACUAAUUAGGAGGUACCUUUUGCAAAGGUCACACCCCACUUUCAUUAGUGCUGACAGGUGGCACAUGGCAUGUGUGUCCCUUGUCGCAACAUGGGAGUUUGCCCUUUUUGUAGAUUCAUUUUUUUUAAUCUUUUAUCUCUUGAACCGCGCAUUCAAAUCACGACCCAUUUUUAUCGUUGGAUUUCUCACGCCGAGAUCUUUGAAACUAGUCACAUGUUAAUAAGUUCCGAUGAACUUUUUCUUCACGAAAAUCAAACAAAAAAAUAUGAAAACAAAAAAUACAGAAAGCAAAAAAAGAAAAAAAAAACUAAAAUCACGGUUGUGCUUUUUUACAUUUUUGGGAAGAAAAAUUGUGCUUUCCCCUUUUUGGGAAACACGGUUUUGCUUCUUGUGAAAGCAUAGGUUGUGCUUUUCCCUUUUCAAGAAGCAUAGGCCAUGCUUCUCUUGUUCUCCGGGAAGCACAUAUGUGCCUUUCCUUUCGGGGAGCACAGUUUUCUCUUUCGGAAAAGCAUAGAUGUGUUUUUCCCUUUUCAGAGAAGCACUACCUAUGCAUCUCACCGAAGAACAUGCUGUGCUUUUCCUUUUUUGAGGAAGUAUAGUUGUGCUUUCCCUUUUUUACAGGGUAGCAAAAAUUGUGCUUUCUUCCUUCUCGGGAAGCUAUGCUUCCCGCGGAAAAGCACCGCCUCAUGAAAAAACAUAAAAAUGAUUUUUUUUUCAUCAAAACCUAGGGAAAACCAAGAAAAAAAGAAAACAUGUGUAAAAAAAUCUAAGGGUGAACCCAGUGCACGACACGUGGCGGCAAUUGGACGCAUCACUUGAUGCGCUCUCAGGUCCUAAAAGUAGCCUAUGUGGAAUCCCCCGAUGAGAUACCCGUUAGAUAGUUGGAGACCUCCUUGCAUCAAAUAGGAGGGUGGCCACAAAGGGGGCGCAUCCUGGUGGGCCGGCCCAGCAGCGUGCUACACUCUAGCGCAAAUUGGUCAAAAUCUAAAAAGUGAUGUGUGAUCAAAGCGCGCAUGGCUAGCCACUCAAGCUAAUGAAACUCUGCUAACUACUAGGCCGUGUUGAACUUUAAAAAGUACUAUAUGAUACCCCGCGCGUUGUUGCGGGAACUCUUAGUACUUUACAUGAAGAAGCUUGUGGAGUGAAAAUAAUUAAAUGAUGAAAAUAUACACUUUUUAAAACCUUUGGUGGUACUUGUAGGAACAUUAUGGAGUGAAAAUAAGUUAACAAUUAAUAUAUUUUUGAACGUUUGAUGGUAUUUUGAGAAUCAUGAGAGAAAUGGUAUAUUAGGGUAUCUCUGUAUUUAUGUAGUUAGAACGCGCCACCCUUUAGCGGGGAAUUAAAUGCAUCGCUAACAUUAAAAAAUAGAGCAUAUAGUUUGAUGGGAAUUUCACUGAAAACAUGGCCAGCCAAGUCUAAAGCUGAAUAUUACACUGAACAGAGAGCCCAAUCAUUGCCUAACACAAAAGCACUAAUGCUUGUUGAGUUAUUUGUAAUAUAGGAGCAGAAUCCCUUCGAAAGAGAAAUUCCAAAAUAUUAAAAAGAUCCAACAGUAAGACAUCCAUACACCUUACAGUUUAUACAUGGAGACAAGCUACAUACCAAUCGCUAAAAAAGGUGAAUAUAGAGUCAUGCACAUCAGGCCCUCAUGGCAUAGAUGCAUUUCUUCCACUAAAAGGACAUGCCUUAAGGGGAUUAGUGUAGGUGUGAAGAUCUGGACAUAUAAAUGGCAGGAAUGACUUCAUCUUCCUGCCCCUUCUGUGGAAACAAAAGCCCGACUUCAAUUGGGAUCCGUUUGACAUGUUGCUCCCUCUUCAUAAAAUGGAGCUGAUCGUUAUCUAAAAGCAAGCUAGGUAGAUUUGGCAUGGCCAGCAGUAGUACUUGCUACUUUGCCAGUUGUGAUGCAUCAUAUGAGAAGGCAAGGAAGGUUGCGUGCUGCCAUGGCCGGACCCUUUGGGGUGCCAAAUGGUGUUCAAAUUUAUAGUAGGUUCCAUUUUUGGUGGGAAUCCAAGAAAAAGAAGGCAAUGGAGUAAGAUGACAACCCAUUCCCAGACUGCCACUCAAAAUCAAAAUGAAGAGGGUAAAUAAAUGUACUUACUAAGAACACACGGAUAACAUACAGCUGGCUACAGAAACAGCCAAACUUUGUAAGUCCAUGGAAAUUGAGGAAAUUGUGAAAACUAUUUCUGUGAGUAGAAGGAAACGUAGUCCAGUUACCUUUCAUGGUAAUGCUUCUCUUGAGACGAUUCUUAGGAUCCCUGAAGAAUGUCUUCUGUUUUCCUGAAGCGGGAUUCCUUGCUAGAGCAGUACCUUUUGUUCUCUUGAGUUAAGGCAGAGUGGGAAAUACAUCACUAUCAGCUCUAGUUCAAUUGCUUGUAUUUUACAAAAACAUACAAUUGAAACAAUUAUCAGGAAAAGUUAUUACCUUAAUCGCAGCAACUCUUUGAGCAUGCAAUUUGGCGUCUUGGUGUAUAAUCUUCAUGUGUAAACAAUUUGUUUUAGCAUCUAGACUCUAUAAUUAAAAUUAAUAAGUUCUUUAAAACCCAAAGGCAACUAUAUAGACCAAUACAAUUAAACAAAGCCAGCGGGUAGGUUUCAAAUAUUAAGUAGCAGGGCUCCAUAGUUAACUCUCCAUCAUGCAGGCAUUUAGUGUAGUAGAUACAAGACAUACGUGUGACAGAUUGCAUAUGAACAACAUUUAUUAGUAGGAAAAUUGUACUACCGUAUAUUGCACUAACACUAACUAUAUGAAGAAGCCAAUAGCAUGUAAUUUCAGCUUGCAAGAAAGCGCCACUUACUCUUAUAGAUCGGCUAAUCUACAUGGCAACUUCUGGGGAUGGUGAUGGAUAAGUACAGUUGGAUCGUUUUUAGAUGUUAAUCUAUUAUUAUAAAAAUCAUCUUCCUUUACUUUCAAGGGAGAACUGUAGAGGGGAAAGAACAACAUUUUUUAAUCUAAUGAUCCAUCACUUAUUCACAACUAUUGCAAUAACCAAGUAUGUUGGAUGCAAGGACGAGGUGAGAGUGCAGGCAACAUGUAUGUCACAUCAUGCGAACAGGUGGGGAUCAUGUUAAGUCAAUGCAGAAGGAUGCGUUGUGUGUCCGCGCACCGUCAACACCGCCGAGUAAACAGUAAACUAAACCUGGGGACCAGUGCUCUUGACCUUCCCAGCUACUUCUGGCAUAGGGGGAAUAUUUGAGGAUUUAUAGUGCUGAGAUUAGGGUUAGGAGNNNNNNNNNNNNNNNNNNNNNNNNNNNNNNNNNNNNNNNNNNNNNNNNNNNNNNNNNNNNNNNNNNNNNNNNNNNNNNNNNNNNNNNNNNNNNNNNNNNNNNNNNNNNNNNNNNNNNNNNNNNNNNNNNNNNNNNNNNNNNNNNNNNNNNNNNNNNNNNNNNNNNNNNNNNNNNNNNNNNNNNNNNNNNNNNNNNNNNNNNNNNNNNNNNNNNNNNNNNNNNNNNNNNNNNCUCCUCCCGAAGCUUCCUAGGUUUCUUCUGGUCCAAGAAAAAUCAUCGUAAAGUUUUAUUCGUUUGGACUCCGUUUGAUAUUCCUUUUCUGUAAAACUCAAAAACAAGAGAAAAAAACAGAAACUGACACUGGGCUCUGGGUUAAUAAGUUGGUCCCAAAAAUAAAUAAAAUAACAUAUUAAUGCAUAUAAAUCAUCCAAAAUAGAUAAUAUAAUAGCAUUGAACAACCAAAAAUUAUAGAUACGUUGGAGACGUAUCAGGAUCAUGUUAAGUCGAUGCGAAAGGAUGCAUUGUGUGUUCGCACACUGGAUGCUUGCAUUUAUAUGGCUCUAUCAGCAUCGCCGAAUAAACUAAAUCUGGGGACCGGUGCUCUUGACCUUCCCAACUACUUCGACUGGAAAUCAGAUCCUCCAUGCCAAAUAAGAAAGACCGUUCAGGUCGUGCUGAUAGAGAGGAAAGAGACCACUCACCUCCGACAAUGGCACGUGUGGCUCGCCUGAAGGUCCUUGGGUUGAAUCCACGGUGUUGGGCUAGCGUAGCACCCAUUGGCGGCAAUCAUGGGGCUCCAAGAUGGCGUCACCGUGUAGAUGUCUGGUGUUGUUGGCCAUAGACGGUUUUGUCAAAGGCGACGCAUUAUGGAAAGAUGGAGAGAUAAAAGAGGGGAGGAGAAGAACCUGGAAGACAAUAGAUAUUUAUUGGUGAAGGGGAGAUGAACGGAAUCAUCGGGCGAAGAGGUGAUGGCUCGUGUCCGCAUUAGUAUUUUCCCCGAAGAGGAAGGGAUGAUGCAACACAGCUACGGUAGGUAUUUCCCUCAGUGAUGAGACCAAGGUUAUCGAACCAGUAGGAGAACCACGCAACACUAUGUAAAUGGUACCUGCACACAAAGAACAAAUACUUGCAACCCGACGCGUAAGAGGGUUGUCAAUCCCUCCCGGGUAAAAGAUAGAUUGGUUUCUAGUAGAUUGGAUAAAUAGAUCUCGCGGAAACGCAAAAUAAAAUAAAUAACAAAAAAUUGCAUCAAGGUAUUUUUGGGUUUUUAGAAUAAUAGAUAUCUAUACCUAUUAAUAAAAGAAAUAGGUAUUCUUCGUCCGUCAUGCUAUUUUGUAGAAAACCCCCUGAUGUUUCUGACAUUAAACCAGCAGUACAUAUCAAGUGCUUUUUAAAAUACUCAUAAUUUUAAACCAUAACUCCAAAUUUAACAUAUUAUAUAUGGAAUUUAAUUAGAAAAUUAUUUAGAAUCUAAAUAUGAUGUUAUUUUACCUGUUAACAAUUUUUAAAAUAAACUAUCUAGGCUGCAAUGUUAAUCAACAAUGCAUUAUCCGUCUUUUUUUCAUACCGGUAUUGAUUUAGAUUGGGGAUGAAAACCUCAGCAAAAUCAGGAUUGGACAUCAGAUUGAAGAUAAAUUUGUUAGAGACACCGAAUAAAUAAGGACAUGCAUGACAAGAAAUAAAAAGAUCCAAUAAAGAUGGGAUGUCCGCUAUAAAAAUAAAUAAAAGAGAAAAUGCAGAGGAGAUCCGAUAAAGAUGAGAUGUUGCGCUAUUCUCCUAUAUAUAAGAAGAGUAAAAGGAGGACAUGCAUGAAAAAAGGUAAAAAGGAGGCAUGCAUGAAAAAAAUACAAGUUUUAUAAGAAAUAAAUAGUGAUGAAACAGGGACCAAUACCUAUGACAUGUAUGGCAAGAAAUAGUGAUGAAAUAGGGGCACAAGUACCUGAGUCAACAGGAGACCAUAAAAAAUGUUGUUUUCCAGACCAAAAAAAACCUAUUUUAUGAUUAAAAAAUCUUGUACCUUUUUAACAACCUUUUUAACUCUUCAUGUAUUUAAGAAAUAGCUACAAAUUCUCGGAUUAUAAAACAUUUUUUGUAAAUUAAGAGUGUGUGGUACUUUUUUCCCGUUGCAACGCACGGGCCUUUUUGCUAGUGAAAAUAAAAGAGGCAAAUAAUAGAUCGGAAAGCAAAUAUGAUAAAGAAUAGACCCAGUGGCCGUAGAUUUCACUAGUGGCUUCUCUCCAGAAAAAUUGCAUACAGUGGGUAAACAAAUUACUGUUGGGUAAUUGAUAGAACUUCAAAUAAUUAUGACGAUAUCCGGGCAAUGAUCAUUAUAUAGGCAUCAUGUCCUAGAUUAGUAGACCUACUCCUUCCUGCAUCUACUACUAUUACUCCACACAUCGACUGCUAUCCAGCAUGCAUCUAGUGUAUUAAGUUCAUGGAAAAAUGGAGUAAUGCAAUAAGAAUGAUGACAUGAUGUAAACAAGAUCUAUUCAUGUAGGAAUAGACCCCAUCUUGUUAUCCUUAAUGCAACGAUCAAUAUGUGUCUUGCUGCCCCUUCUGUCACUGGGAAAGAACACCGCACGACCGAUCCCAUCACAAAGCACCUCUUCCCAUGGCAAGAAAAAUCGAUCUAGUCAACCUAACUAAACAAAAGAUUCGAAGAAGAAUACGAGGCUAUAAGUAAUCAUGUGUCUAAGAGAUCAAAACUCAAAUAACUUUCAUGUAUAAAAUAGAUCUGAUCAUAAACUCAAAGUUCAUCGGAUCCCAACAAACACACCGCAAAAAGUGUUACAUCAAAUAGAUCUCCAAGAGACCAUUGUAUUGAGAAUCAAAAGAGAGAGAGGAAGCCAUCUAGCUACUGCCUACGGACCCAUAGUUCUACAAUGAACUACUCACGCAUCAUCGGAGAGGCACCAAUGAGGAUGAUGAACCCCUCUGUGAUGGUGUCUAGAUUGGAUCUCAUGGUUCCGGAACUUGCGGCAGCUCGAAUUGUGUUUCGUCGACUCCCCUAGGGUUUUUGGAUUUUCGGGGUAUUUAUAGAGCAAAAAGGUUGUGCGGGAGGGCACCGAGGUGGGCACAACCCACCAGGGCACGCCUGGGCCCCCAGGCGUGCCCAGGUGGGUUGUGUCCCCUGGGGACACCCAUCUGGUACUUCUUUGGCCCAAGUUGUUCCUUCUGGUCUAGAAAAAUUCUCCAAAAAGUUUCGUUGCGUUUGGACUCCGUUUGGUAUUGAUUUUCUGCGAAGUAAAUAACAAGCAAAAAAUAACAACUGGCACUGGGCAAAUAGGUUAAUAAAAUGAUAUAAAGUUGCUAUAAAAUGAUUGUAAAAUAUCCAAGAAUGAUAAUAUAACAGCAUGGAACAAGCAAAAAUUAUAGAUAUGUUGGAGACGUAUCAAGAGGCAAUAAGAGGAAGGCGCAGCAAUCAGUUCGACGGUAGUAAAAAAUUACACGAUUCCUUUCGUUGAAAAGGGAAAAAGGAAGCAUUGGUGAUGUGGCAGAUUUUCUAACCUGGAUGGCAGCAUGUUGAUUGCUGAUGUGGAUAGGCUACAUGUCAAGAGAAAUACGGUACUGGGGAUGAACUAUUUAGGUAUUAUAUAUGCGCAACAUCACAUCUAAACUCUUUAUGAAAUUACAAAACACGAUGGUUUUUAAAAUGGAUAUAUUUUGGAACCCAAUUUUUUAAAAUUUAUGAAUAAAUUUUUGAAAACUUGAACAAUUUCUUGAGUCUAUGAACAAUUUUUUGAACACGAACUUUUUUUCAAAAUUUCAAAACGCAAUUAUUUUUUUAAUGUAACCUUUUUCAAAAUUCAAAAACAUGAUUGUUUGUAAAGUGAAUAUGUUUUUAAAAUUCUAGACUAAAUUUGCAAGUUGAAUAUGUUUUGAGAAACACUCGAAAUUGUGGACGUUUUCUAAAACGUCAAAGAACUUUGAAAAACAUCAAACAUUUUUCAAAGCACGGAUUCUGGGAAAAAAACAAAUUCCGAACAUCUUUUAGAAAUUUUGAAUUUAUGAAAAAAGAAAAAGAAGCAGAAAAUGAAAAAAGAAAGAAAGCAAGGAAAAGCAGUGAAGAAAUAAAACAGAAAAAGGGAAAAAACCUGAAAAUAGUGGUAAAGACUGAUCCUAGCUACUUGGGCUGGUCCAUCUAUGGUUUACUCGCUGCUCAUUUCGGAGAUUUCUUUUAGGGGUAAAACCAAGUUUUAUACAUCAAACACCAUAGAGUGUGGGAUAGAGUUUGGGUCAUGGCAUUUUCCAAAGCAAACAUUGCGUCCCAGACCUAACGAAAGAGAAAACCUGCCUAGAUUAUGUGCUUCGACAUUUACAGGAUGAUCUUUAGAUAAAAAAAUACAAUGAAAUAAAUACGGUUGCAACUUGAUCUCGUUGAUAAUGGCUCGUUUCCACAUAGUUUGCUCACAUUUUUGAGAGAAAAUUUAGCCUUGAUGGGCUGGGAAAUUGGGCCAGCCAUCCUCGAGUGUGACUGGCUUGUCUUUGUCUAGUAUAAAUCCCAUCACGUUGCCCAAGAGCCCACCCUUAUCUAUUUUUCUACAGGACCCAUAUAUGUUUGGUUCCUUCAGCACGAUGGGCCGCCUCCCAGCCUCCCUCGCCCGCUCGACAGCUCCCCCACCAAUAGAGUUAGGCCCUCGACCCUCCCCCACCCCAAGGUUGCGAGCAUGUCCCUUCCCGACAUCUCUUCCACACGGCCUCGUCCCACCCCAUGUUCUCCCCCAAGUGCUUUGUCGAGUGUCAUGGAAAAAUAUUCUUGGCAAGAUAGUGGAACUCACGCAAAAUGUGCUUUAUCGAGUGCUACACUCGGCAAAAGGGGGUAUGCAGGGAAGCAAAAUCAUGCUUUUUUCCUUCUCGGGAAGCUGCGCUUCCCGUGGAAGGCUUCAUCAAAAACCAGAAAAAAAGAUUUUUUUUUUCAUCAAAACCUAGGGAAAAUAAAAGAAAAAAAACACGUGUAAAAAAUAAAAUCUUAAGGGUGUACCUGCACACGACAUGUGGCCGCAGUUGGGCACAUCACUUGAUGCGCUCUCAGGGCCUCAAAGUAACCUCUGCAGGAACCCUCGACAAGAAACCCAUCAGACAGUUGGAGUCUCCCUUGCGUCAAAUAGGAGUGUGGCCACAAGGGGAGCGCGUCCUGGUCGGCCGGCCCAGUAGCCUGUAGCACUCUACCGCAAAUUUGUCAAAAUCUAAAACAUGACGUUUGAGCAAAGCUCGCAUGGCUAGCCAGUCAAGCUGAUGAAACUUUGCCAACUACUAUGUCGCGUUGAUCAGUAAAAAUUAUGUGCAACAUCACAUAUGAAAAAAAAUUGGAAUUUCAAAACACGGUUGUUUUUAAAAUGAACUAGUAAAGUGGCCCGCUCGAUGUGCGGGCUAGAUUUUUAAGUUUUUUUUAAUAAUAUCAUAUUGUUUGAUUUGGCUAAAGAAAAAUUGGAACCCAAUAUGACGACUUUAUUGUGCGGGCUCAAUCUUUGAAUUGUCUAUUAUGUUUUAUGAUUGAAUUUCUUAUCUGUAGUAAGUCAAUACAUAAUUAUGACGACUUUAUUGUGCGGGCUCAAUCAAUAUUAUUAUUUACUGUUAUUCUUCUUAUUUUUAUUGUUAAAAAAACAAUGUUAAAGUCAACCCAUUUGAAAAAAACUAAUUUAAUGUAAGUAUAGUAUCUAAAGUCCUAGUAUAGUAAUUUCAUUUCAAUUUAAUUUUAUUGUAUUCUUCCAUUUUGAAAAUGUAUUUUUAUUAUGAAUCUAGCACUUUAGUUAAAAUACAAAUAAAACUACUACAUUACUGAUCCCAAAAUUAAACAAAAAUGUGUACAUAAACUUGUCUUUAUCAUCGAUGAAUUACAACCAGAUCAUAUGUUUAAAUAAUGGAUAUUUAUAUUAUUAAUCAACCAAGCAUAGUUCUUUUGAUCUCGUAGAUUGUGAUUUUCCAAUAGUGUCUUGUCUUUUUGUUUAUGUGCAAAUAAUAGUUCACCUAUCAUAUUUUACGAGAAUGGGAAACAAAUAUAAGAAAUAGAACUGAAAGAAUUAUAUGGACGUCUAUUCUUGGAAAAUUGUUUAUGGUGUCACCAUCUCGUUCACGUGUGAGUAUGCAAUCUAAUUUCUAACAUGGCAUUCUUUCAUGCGUGAAGAAAUUUCAAGUUAUCACAACGCGACAUGAGUUCGAUAGAAUAUUAACUCAUUCGGAAAAAAAGAUAUGUACAUACAAAACUAAUGAAGUAACUUCAGUAAAAAUUAAUAUGUUACCCAAGAUUUUGAGGGACUGUGAUUUUGAAGGGGUAUUACAUUUUUGUAAUGUUAACUUGACACAUUGGUGAGAAACACAAUUCGAAUAGAAUACACUAAAGCUGAGAAAACAGAACUUUGUUGAACAAUAAUUAACCGGCUAAGAACUUACAAUGUAUCAUGCCUUUGCUGUUAACAACUAUAUGCAGCAGUAUUUUUUUUAUAUUUAUAAUUAUCACUCAAACUAACUUUUUAGAAAGCAUACUAAUUAGUUAGAUAUUCAGGGAUGCAUUGAUAACAGUAAUCGCUAUCGUCUAGCCUUGCCUCCUGUCUGAUGCACUACAAGCAAAGGAUUCAAAACUACGUUUUCCUGUAAUGUAAAACAAUAAUACUUCAUGGAGAUCAUGUUUGCAUGUGCAUAUGGAAUUUAUCAAUAGUAGGUAGAAAAGUCCUAGCUAGCUUAGCUUAGCUUAGGAUAACGCCCUGGCAUCUAAACUGCUUCAUAUAUGCAAUCCAAUUGUAUGGGUCAAAUAUACAAAACCUGAAGCUCAUGGUCUAGAUGUUUCAUUGAUAAUAUCAUUUCCACCAGACUGGCGACCGAUUAUACAGUAGUCUACCUGUAUUGUUUAACACUGAGAUACCGCAUCAGCCAAAUCAUAGCACCUGAGGUGCCUCUUCUAGUGGACGGUGAGAGCAUAUCUGUAAUAAUCAUCCUUUGUAUAACAUUAUUUAUACCUCCAAAUGUUGCACCACACAUGUUCAUCUUUAGAGUCAAGCCCUAUUGCAGCGCAGGUUGUGCUUGGCCAGCACCUUCGUGAUGAACUUGCCAGUGACCACAGUGCAAGCAACUACCAGUACCCAGGAAGCCUCGACGAAGCCAAUGACGUACUGCUCUAUUUCGCGCCGGUCCCAUGUGGCCCACUUGUUUCCCUGAGCAUGUCGGUAUCGACAAAGGAACGAUAGUCGCUAGAUUAAAGGGAAGUGAGAUGGAAAGACACACUCGAGGAGGAAGAUGUUUAGGACUAUGUAUUUGCAUACUCUUUUGGAUCAAGGACGUGGGAUGUAAGUACGGUGUUUGCCUUUUUUUCUUUCUCUUUUUAGCUUUGAAGGGAUGUGUACAUGUUUUUUUUUAUGUCUACAUGCUUGAUUUUUUUUCCUCUGGAGGGAUAUGUACUUGUUUGUAUUUUUAAAAGGUUGGGGGAUCAUUCAUUUUGUACGCACUUGUUUUUUUUUCAAAUGUAUGUACGUGCCUGAUGGAUAUGUGUGGGGACGUUCUUUUUUAUAUAUGUGGGAUAUGUACGUGCNNNNNNNNNNNNNNNNNNNNNNNNNNNNNNNNNNNNNNNNNNNNNNNNNNNNNNNNNNNNNNNNNNNNNNNNNNNNNNNNNNNNNNNNNNNNNNNNNNNNNNNNNNNNNNNNNNNNNNNNNNNNNNNNNNNNNNNNNNNNNNNNNNNNNNNNNNNNNNNNNNNNNNNNNNNNNNNNNNNNNNNNNNNNNNNNNNNNNNNNNNNNNNNNNNNNNNNNNNNNNNNNNNNNNNNNNNNNNNNNNNNNNGUGCCUGAUGGAUAUGUGUGGGGACGUUCUUUUUUUUUUCCAUGAUGGAUGAACGAUGUGGGAUGUGUAUUUUUUUAUAUCUGGGGGGUACACUCUUUUUUAGUGUCCACCGGGUUAUGAAGAUCUAAGGCCUAUGAUUUAUUAGUACAGAGAAGUUCUAUUAAAUCAACCAUCGGAUACUUCUGAUUUUUAUAGAAUUUUUGAUCAUAUUUCUCUUUGUUAGUUAACCUGCUAUUUACUUUUAAUAUAUAGUAGAUACUAUAUAUGCAGUACGUGACCAUGUAUGAGUUUGUGAGGGAUUCUCUAUAUACACAUAUGUGCGUUUGUUUUUUCCUUAUGGAACAGAUGUGCAUGCACGUGCUUUCCAAUUAACAUGGUAGGCUUGCCAAAAAAAAUUAACGUGAUUCCUCACGCAACAUCUUUUUUUAUAGAAGAGCUCUGACAACCGAAUAAUCCAGGCUUUUUUUCUAGAUUGGAAAAUAUCUACGUGGGACAUGUGCCAUGUAAAUCCUUAGAGGCCCAUCAUAUUAUAUAUGUUACGUAAAUUGAACGGUCACGUAAUCUUAAUUUUAAGAGAUUUACCGGAUCGAGGGUUAUUAUUUUCUAAUUAAUGUGGAAUUUUAUAACCUAUUUCUCUCCCUUUUGGUUCACCGUAUAUUACUUUUAGUAUAUAAAAUAGAUGGUUUUUGGAACAUGGACUUUUUCCAAAUUUAUGAAUAAAAUUUGAAAACUAGAGCAAUUUUUGACUAUAUCAAGGUUUUUUUUUAACACAAACUUUUUUUGAAAUUUUAAAACACGAUUAUUAUUUUAAUACAACCUUUCUUAGAUUUCAAAACACGUUUUUAAUGAAUAUUUUCUUAAACCCUACCAAAAGUUGAAAAUUUGAACAUUUUCAAAAACACUCCGAAGUGUGGACAUUUUCUAAAAAACGUGAAAGGAUUUAGGAAAACUUCAAACUUUUUCAAAGCACGAAUAAUUUUUGGGAAAAAUGAAACAAAAUCAAAUUCCGAACAGUUUUUGAACAUUUUUUUAGAAAUGUUGAAUUUAUGAAAAAAAAGGAUAAAUUAUGAAAGAAACGAAAAUUGGUGAAGAAGAAAACAAGAGAAGGAAAAAAACUAAAAAAUAGUGUAAGAAAAAAACACCAAUACUAGCUACUUGGGAUGGUACAUAUGCGGUUUGCUCACUGCACAUUUCCUAAAUUUUUUUAGGGGUAAAAGCAAGUUUUAAUCAUCAAACACCAUAGAGUGUGGGAUAGAGUUGGGGUCGUGGAAUUGGUUAAACCCAACGCGGCGUCCCAGACCUAACGAAAGAGAAAGACUGGCUAGACUAUGUGCUUCGACAUUGAUAGCAUGACCUUUACAAGAAAAAUUACUAUCAAAUAAAGAUGGUUGCAACUUAAUCUCGUUGAUAAUGGCUCGUUUCCCACAUAGUUUGCUCACAGUUUUUGAGAGAAAAUUUAGCCUUGAUGGGCUGGGAAAUCGGGCCAACCAAUCUCAAGUGCGACCGACUCAUCUUUGUCCACUAGAAAGCCUGCCACGUCGCCCAAGAGCCAACCCUUAUCUUUUUUUUACAGGACCCGUAUAUGUUUUAUUCCUCCAGCAAGACCGGUCGCCGCCAAGCCUCUCUCGCCCGCUCGACAGCUCCCCCCGCUGCCGGGGCUAAGCCCUGGAUCCCCCCACCCCCAGGUUGCGAGCUUGUCCCAUCCCUCCCUCUCUUCUGCGUAGCCUCGCCCCACCUCGUCUUCUCCCCCACCGGUGCUUUGCCUAGUUUCUUGGAAAAAAACUCUCGAUAAAAUAUUGGAACUCUGAUAAAAUGUGCUUUCCUGAUUGCUACACUCGGCAAAAGGGGGUAUGCACUGCACUGUUUUGGUUGUCCAUAUUGCAUACGACCUCGGAUGAAGAUGAUCCCAAAAUCAAAGUUUAUCAUUUUGACAAGAUGAUUAAUUUUCAUGUUCAGAACUUUUCCAUUUUAAGCCAUGUUAUUUACACUUUGGGCAAUGCCAAAAUAUGGUCUCAAAUGAAUAUGGCGGUGGUCAUAUUUAUAGCAUAGUUUCUGACAAUGGGCCUAAAGUUGGCAUUUUGUUGCAUCUCGCCAUUACAAACAAUGAUGCCAAAUAGAGUUUCCAACAUUUUGUACAAAAACUAAUUUUCCCAUUUGCUAAGUGUAAAAAAUGGAUAUUUUAUGAAGCGGGUAAAAAAACAUAGUGCAAAAUGGCACCACCCCAAUUUACAUAAAAAGUAGACCACAUGUUUUAGAAAAUUCCCAGGUUUUGUGGAUCUUCUAGAUUUCUAGCUACUUUCCACAGUUAAAUUCAAAUUUGAACUUUAAGUCUGUGAUAGCUUUGUCCUAAAAAUUAGCAAAAAUGUAAUCUAUUUUUUUAGGUAUGCAAGUAGUCAUUUUAUGAAAUCACCACUUAAGUUUGAGAGAUUCAGGCCCUUGCCAUGACUAUCCAUGCCGGGCAUUUUGACCCCGUUUUGGAAAAAUGAAACAAAAAGGAUACAAGUUCAAAAAAAAUGCAAUCCAUUCGUAUGGACUCCUUUUAUGUGUACUAGCUAGGAUGAAAAUACCAAACUUCAAUAUGAAAACUUUGAAAGAAAAAUAUCCAUCACAAAACGGGCUAUCAUGUAUGAACCUUCACGGCUUUAAAGUCAAACGACCAAGGUGACGACAAUAUCCAUUCCAUAGUUUAUUAUAUUAUGCCCAAAUUAGACAUAUAGGUGAAUCAUGCCAUUGCAAAUAAUGUUGUAAAAUAGAGUUUCCAACUUUUUGUACAAAAAAUCAUUUACUAUUUUCUAAGUAUCAAAAAAAUGGGUGUUUCUUGUGAAGUGGGUUCAAAAAAUAGAGUGGAAAAUGGCACCACUCCAAUUUUCACAAAAAGUAGACCAUAUUAGAUGGACAAUUCCCAAGUUUUGUAGAUGUCUAGAUAAAAACUAACAAUUGGUGUAUUUUUUAAUAUUUAAUGAAAAUAAAAAACGGGCGAGAAUAUGACCAGGGGUGUAAACUGUGGAGGGGGCGCCGCACACGGCUAACAAUUGAUGUUGUGUGUUCUAGGCGCCCCCUUCCCCACAUAUAUAUAGGUGGGAGGGGAGGGGAGGCAGCCAGGGGGCACCCCAAGUAGGAUCUGAAUCCUACUUGGGGUUUCCCCAANNNNNNNNNNNNNNNNNNNNNNNNNNNNNNNNNNNNNNNNNNNNNNNNNNNNNNNNNNNNNNNNNNNNNNNNNNNNNNNNNNNNNNNNNNNNNNNNNNNNNNNNNNNNNNNNNNNNNNNNNNNNNNNNNNNNNNNNNNNNNNNNNNNNNNNNNNNNNNNNNNNNNNNNNNNNNNNNNNNNNNNNNNNNNNNNNNNNNNNNNNNNNNNNNNNNNNNNNNNNNNNNNNNNNNNNNNNNNNNNNNNNNNNNNNNNNNNNNNNNNNNNNNNNNNNNNNNNNNNNNNNNNNNNNNNNNNNNNNNNNNNNNNNNNNNNNNNNNNNNNNNNNNNNNNNNNNNNNNNNNNNNNNNNNNNNNNNNNNNNNNNNNNNNNNNNNNNNNNNNNNNNNNNNNNNNNNNNNNNNNNNNNNNNNNNNNNNNNNNNNNNNNNNNNNNNNNNNNNNNNNNNNNNNNNNNNNNNNNNNNNNNNNNNNNNNNNNNNNNNNCCCCCGGUACUCCUAUAAAUACCCGAUACAUUCGGGAACACUUCCGGUGUCCGAAUACUAUCAUCCUAUAUAUCAAUCUUUACCUGUCGACCAUUUCGAGAUUCCUCGGCAUGUCCAUGAUCUUAUUCGGGACUCCGAACAACAUUCGGUCACCAUAUCACAUAACUCAUAUAAUACAAUAUCAUUAUCGAACGUUAAGCAUGCGGACCCUACGGGUUCGAGAACUAUGUAGACAUGAUCGAGACACCUCUCCGGUCAAUAACCAAUAGCGGAACCUGGAUGCUCAUAUUUGAUCCUACAUAUUCUACGAAUAUCUUUAUCGGUCGAACCGUUAUGACAACAUACAUUAUUCCCUUUGUCUAUCGGUAUGUUACUUGCCCGAGAUUCGAUCGUCGGUAUCUGCAUACCUAGUUCAAUAUCAUUACUGGCAAGUCUCUUUACUCGUUUUGUAAUACAUCACCUCACUAACGGAUGGGUCUUGUCCAUCACAUCAUUCUUCUAAUGAUGUGAUCCCGUUAUCAAAUGACACCUCAUGUCCAUGGUUAGGAAACCUUAACUAUCUUUGAUCAACGAGCUAGUCAAGUAGAGGCUCACUAGGGACAUAGUGUUUGUCUAUGUAUUCACACACGUAUUGAGGUUUCCGAUCAAUACAAUUCUAGCAUGGAUAAUAAACAUUUAUCAUGAAUAAGGAAACAUAAAAUAAGAACUUUAUUAUUGCCUCUAGGGCAUAUUUCCUUCAAAUCAGUAUAUGUGUGCAUGCUUGGUUGUUAGUGAAAUGUUUUAUGUAUAUGUGUACAUGCUUGGUUGGGCCAACUUUGUGUAUUACAUUUUGUGAAAUACAAACUUGAUAUAUGCCACAUUUGUGUUAACGACCAAUAAGUAUAUACGUAACUAUAUUUUGCCUUCUUUUUCCUCCUCCACAAGAAAAGGUCCCAUGCUUUUCUCCUCCUCCAAUUGGCGCCGUAGCUAGUCCGCCCCAUCUUUGAUGGCCUUUGGGCCCUUUAGUACUGUACCGAACCAGCAGCCUUCGCGCCAAGCGACGACCGCCCUUGUCCCUUUCCUUUUUCCAUUCAGCCUACUUCUUAGCUUUGUUCUGUCAGUCUAAGGCAAAGCUUAAGUGGUUUGCCUACCUUACCCACUUGAUGAAAGGGAACGGACUUCAUUUCCUUGGCGGCUUUAUGGAUGGAUUCAGUCAGAAAAAACUCCUUCCUUUUGAAAAAAGUGACGCCACGAAGGUGAGUAGGACCUCAGGCCCUCGCUGGCGGGAGGGAACCUGUUCUCAUUCUUUUUUGGUUCAAUGUCUUGCUGGAGCGCUGUGUUGCGGCUAUGAUGUCUCUCAGUAGGAAUAAUGUUUCACAUGUUCUAUCCCUGUCUCGAUGGUGCCUCUAGCAUCAUCAUAGGGCAUGUGGAGGUGUGUCUCUAUCGGAUUUCGCAGGAUUCGGUCGGCAUUAGUCUUCGGUGGAUCUGUUUGGACACGGUCUAUGUUCAUCUUUGUGGUGUUUAUACUAUUGAUCCUUCCGAUCUAUGACUUUCUUCAUCGACGAUGGUUGCUGCUUCGGUGCGCUGGUCCUAUGGGUCCUUAGCACGUCAACUUCCUGACUAUUGACUACAACAAGGUUUGCCCGGCUCCAGCGAUCGGGGGGGGGGGUGAUGGCGAUGCACAGCUUUCUUUAGUGCUUGUAGUCAUCACUAGGUGGUCCAUGGACCUGGUUGUAAUUUUUUGUAUCUCUGGUGUUCUUUGUACUGCCAUGAUUGAAGAUGAAUAGAUUGGAAGUUUCUCACGCAAAAAUAACUAUAUAAAUAACUAUUUUAGCAAAAUUCGCAAAAAAAACUAUUUUAGCAAGUAAUAAAUUUUGACACCAAUUAUAUGGUAGUAAUUAAUAUUUACCCUAAUAAUAUCCGCAUUGGAUUCAGGUUUUAUACUAUGUAUACAAACGAGAGUAUGUUUGGAUAAUUGUGUGAACACAAGGAUAUAUCUUAGCAAAACUAUUUUUAGCAACAAGUAAAUGAAUUAAUAUAUGCUAGCUAUACUCUGCUGGUGAAAACAUGGUGUAUUAGUUGUACAAAGCAUGCAACACGGUUUCACUCCCCUUUAUAUUCCUGGGCGGAACACAAUUUCAGAUCCAAGUUUUAUGUUUGUCUACACAGUCCCAUCUUCUUCCCAUAUCAGCAGGAAAAUUCACUCCAAUCAUCUCGCCAUUCUACACUUGGGUAAUCAGGUUUGCUUCAAUCUACCAUCCUUGAAUAUAUGCCCCACAUCUUGUUUCUGCGUCCUAAUCUUAUUAAGCUUGUAAUUAGUAGUUAGUGCAAGAUCAAAAAGGAGCUAUGGACAAAACACCAUCCGCACCUGCUGAUAAAAUCACCAUAGGACAAGCGGUGCCUAAUCAUGAAAUAGCAGGAGAUUCAAGUGACAGUGAGAGAACAAUCAGUGAGGGUUAUGUGGGGAUCAUGUAUGGUGGUAGCCAAACCCACGAUGGCAACCUAGAAGGAGAAUCUGAUAUGGUAUUGCUAGCAACAGAUUCAAGUGACAGCGAGAGAACAACCAGUGAGGGUUAUGUGGGGAUCCUGUAUGGUGGUAGCCAAAUCCAGGAUGGAGACCUGGAGGGAGAAUCGGCUAUGGUAUUGCCUGCUGUAGGAGAGAAUACCACGGCGAGAUCUAACAGUCAUGGUUAUACGCGUAGCUUGGAAAUUGAUUCUACCUCUCGUAGUGAGAGGCAUGCUGCCAGGUCAGAUUCUGUUCUAGUGGCACAACGCCGAGACUGCAUACAAAUUUACCCUGAGUGGCUGGAGAAAAUUGAUUCAGGCAAAAAGAUGUGGACAGCUCUCAACCAAUUUCGAGCAAAUGGGAAGCACGAAGAGGUUAGUAUAUACACAUGUUCUGGUGUGCUCUCUCAUCAAAUAAUUUUCAUUGUGGGUUAAUCAUCUCAUAACAUAAGGAGUGUUUGCUUGAUGGGCAUUCAGACCAAAUGAUGAACGAAUUAGAUCCUAGGUUCUCCAAAAGAUGACAUUGUGUUUUGCUUCCGUUACCUCAUAGAUUUUCAGCCUUUGCGUCAAAAUGAUUUUAUGCAUUUGUUUUCGCACUAACUUGUAUUUUUUAAGCACAACCAUCCAUAUAUGUAAA
rnacentral:lncRNA from 1 species